UACUUUGCAAGUCACUGUAAAACCAAGAUAGCCAAUGUAUAGUAAUAUCAUGAUUCCAUAAGGGAAUUGAAGCAGCUUGAAAGCAGCCACAAAUAUUUUGAAUGGUAGUUUCUAAUACAGGUCACAAGAAAAUAGUAACAUGUCAAAAAGAAAAAGGAAGGUAAACUGAAUAAGGUAAAAAACUGAAAAGAAAUAAAUUAUGAACUGAUCCUACCAUUUUGUGUCGGAAUAGAUACAUAUGGCUGCUACUCCAGCUGAAAAUUGACUACUAAUAGGCAAACUUAAAAUAUACAGAAGCGAUAUACCGCGAGAACUGAACAACUUUAGACAGGGACAUGUGGAGUCGAAUGCAUUCAGUAAUAUGGUUGUCCAACAACCAAUUUCUAUCACCCAGGUUAUUUUACUCAGUAUACUACUCAAGUCGUAUCACAUCAAACAGAAUCAUAUCGUACUUUAAGGGUUCAAGCCUCGAGCUUACAUAUCAUUGAAAUCAAUCCUCAGAAACCAGUCAAACCCACUAAAUCUCAGUUUGAGCACUGCUAUUAGCUGUACCAAAGAAUUUUGUUGAAGCACAUAAAAAUGCUUGAAUAAAACAACAACGCAACUAACAAUUAAUUUCGUAGAAAGCCUGAUAGUAUUGCUAUUCUGAAGGUGGAUAAUUUGCAUUCCAACAUUUCUGCCAUGGAACAGGGGAAGCAGUUUUCUACACAAGAAAUGAGCCCACAUGGACAAAUCCUAGUAUUGCGAAAUUAUUAUAAACAGAUCUACAACAGACAUGUCCAUAUACAGGCCUACCUGCAAUCACCCCACACAUACAUUUAGCAAAAAGUUAAGCUAUAUAGUACAUAUGUAAAUUAACACCUCACUAUACUGUUCUGAUCUGGACAGAGCUUUAUAUUUGAAGCAAGAAGCAGAGGAUAUUACUAUGUGAAUGGCUCCUUGGAUUCAAUUCGAGUAGAGAAUAAUCUUUAGAUAAAAUUCAUAGGAAUAUUUGAACACUGUUCUCUUUCUUAAAGAAAUUUAUCAUGUGGAGUCCAGCAAUGUGUAAAAAGGGCACAAUAGAUAAAUCACACCAUAUGAAAACCUUGGGUGCAUAUAUAGACAAAUGUCCUUGGGGGGCUGUUAUUAGAAGCGUGCCAAUGGCUGACUAACUUGGAAGGAAAAAUUCAUAAUACGAAGUAAGGCCUGGAGUGUACUAUAUUUUCAAAAAUUACGACUAACAAUGAAGCAUAUAAUUAACUCGUCUCCAAAUGUAUGUAACAUCACAAUUAAUUCACUGCUAGCACAAGAAAUAUGAAACCAUAGCGGGCCAAAUGCAAAGGAAUUGCCUCAUGAUCCAGGCGUUUUUCUUUCAACUGAGUUUAGCAUAGCAGAGUAACAAUUAAUCGCUUGAUGAAGCAAUAAGGGGUAAUAGCUCUAUCACCGUUACAUGCAGCUAUCAGAAGUAAAAACCCAUGGAUGAGGAGAAAAAGCACAAAUUAGGACUAAGGACCAACAUCACCUUCUUUGCUUCAAAGUCAAUUAAUUCCUGGAAUGGAAAAAAUAUAAGAUUUGCUAUUGGUUGGUUUCAAAUUACGAUACCUCGGUCUCAGAAAUUAUUUAGCAAACAAAUAUGGGUUCUCGGUUAGUACAAUGCAACUCAACAGCAAAGAAAUGUGAAUCACCCAUUAAGUACAUGUACAGGGGAAAAGGGCAACACAUGCAUAUCAGUAUUAGUAUGAAAUAGAUCAAGCAGACGGAAAGCUCAUGCUCUUAUCACCUUACUUGGCAGAACUAAUAUCAGUCUGUUGUUCAAACCAAUUUAACAUCAUCUCCAUUUCCUAUCAAAGUGUUUGUUUGCUUCUAACAAUCCCUUCUUUUUUUUUCUCAUGGCCCACUAUCAUUGGCAGGUGACAGAAUAAGUAGAACAACAACUACCACAUCUACUAACAGUGUACCCUAUACUGUUCACUAUAUGCUAGUGGUACUGAAAAGCUUAAAAAAGCCUUGAUUAAACAUUUCCAGAUCUUGUUAACACCUUAGUUGGUUGAUAGUCAACGAACGGCAGGUGAGCAACACUUGACUGGGGGGUUCGGCUCAGGUGCAGGGUUCACCGCACCUAUUAUGGUGCAGGCCCAAUCAAUGCAUUCCACGUGUGCUAGUAGGCCCAUACUUCAUUAUUAAUUUUUUUAAUCUUCCGAUUAAUCUCCAUCCUCUCUUCAAUUCCAUGCAAACAGGUCGGAUCACACGGCAAGGUACUCCUGUCAUGACGACCUCCGCCGUCUUCACCCAGCACACAUCUGGACGAACUUCCCUAAUACUCCAAUCUUCGCGACUACAAUGUGCUGCAUUUUUUGAUGGGCAUGUGCUCACUGCUCAGGGCAUGCAGGCACUUUUACAUGCCGUCGACGUGAGCACACACUCUUCGAUAGUAUUGAUCAAAUGAUCCAUCACGUUGUUUUCUCGUCGGAUCAGACUCCAGCCGGCCAGUACUUUUGAUUGUCUGACGGCAAGAUUGUUCAGAGCACAACGAGCGGGUUAGCAAGCAUGGCGUAACCUAGGUCUCGUAUGGUCCUCGAGCACGCACACAUCCUGGCCGAUGAAGAUUAUCUAUUUAGCUGCUGCAUGGACAAACAGCGAUGGAGAUAUGCAACAGAGAAUAAACAAUCCAAACUAUUUCAUAAGAGAUUUGUAAGUUUGCAAUUGCAGCAGAGAGAAUAAACAACAAAUAAAUUAGAUAUAGCACGGAGAGUUUGGAAGGAAAGCGAUCCAUUGAAGGAUUAAUUAAAGAAUGAAUUAAUUAAUUGCUUGGGCCUACAAACAUACGUGGCAUGUGCUCAUUGGGCCUGCACCAUAAUAGGUGCGGUGACCCCUGCACCUGAGCCGAACCCCUUGACUGGUAAUGUACCGAAUACAACAAUUUGAACUGUUAGUAACAAACAUAAACUACUCCCAACGGCCAACAACCAUACAUAAACAACAACGGCAAAAACAUUGCAUUAGCAACAGCAGAAGAUAAAGAAAAGACGAUCUUUAAUUAGCAGCAGCAUUAUCUCUAUUACUUUGUACUAUGUAGGAACAACAAACUCUUUGUAGCAUCAUCAUCAUUAUCUCUAAGCAGUAGUGCUAUCCCUUUAAUGAUUCCAUGCAUCAUCAAGGCACUGAACAUCCGGCGUGGGAGGAACUGAUCAGCAGGACAAAACCAACAAAACCGAUCAACAUUGAAGAUCACACAAUAAUCAAAGGAUGAAAAGAGAAAAAUAACUACGAAGGAAAGGAGAUAUACAAGACGGAAUCGACCACUCUACCCCAACGAAGUAUACCAGACCGCCAUCUAGAGGCCAAUGAGACAUGCAUGCCAUCUACAGAAGUGUAAAAGAACCAAAAAAACGCUGAUUACAAACCAAACACUGAGUGAAAUCACAAAUAUGAGGCACACUCACCACCACAAGAAACUAUUUGACACAGCGAAUCUCCCACUCGCCGUCAGCGAGAUUCCUCAAGAUCCAAAUUACAUGAUGGAAUCAUAGUACCUGCAAAUUUCACAAAUAAAACAAAGAAUCACGAAAUAAAAAAACACAGAAAUCAGAUUUAGAGAGGAAAAGGAACAAGAACGUAUGUACCUGAAGCGAUGGAACCAACAGACGGUGACACGGACAACGGAUGCCGAGUUGCCGACCAACCGGCCGCCGGUGAGACGCACCACCGAAAGAACCACGAAGAACCAACGCAGGCGGAGCGCCACAUCCCCGGAAGAACGAACCGACGGCGGCCGAUCCCGGGCGCGAGGUGGAUGAGCGAGAGGCAUGGGACAAAUCGAGGCGCUGACCGGAGGUACGCCGGCGGGGCCCGACGGGUUGGACAGGCUCCAGAUCAAGAACACAGGGAAGGCUGCAGCGCCCUGAAUUCCGUCUUCUCCGCCAUUACUUCCUCUGGGUCUCUCAUGGCAAGCGGUGUCGGCAGGGCAGAUGGGAGCACGAGGGGGAGAGGCAGGUGCGGACGCCGCGGGGACUGAAAGAUUCACACACAGGAAGGGGAUUUUAUAGGAGAAUACGGCGGCGAAGCGGUGGCACAGUUGACGCGUCGCUUCUGGAGGAAGAGAGACAAAUCUAGAAGAGGAGACCAAAAUAUCUUCAGCACAUCACGUGAUCUGUGUCUCCCUCCAUAAUCCUAAGAUCACACGUGCACGUGCCAGCACAUUGAACGAAAGAACCCUCCCGUAGGCCACGUCAAUAAACAAGGGCACAUAACGUGGCGACGGCAACGCUAAAGGAAACAUGCCAUACAACCAGACAAAGAAAAAAUGAGAUCGAUCAACCUCUAGGAAACCACUGUGUACACGCGUCGCUCAAUCAGCAAGGGUAAAAAAGAUUCAUAAAAAACCAGAAAAAAGAAACCCUUACAGGCCUAGUCUUUUUAGUAUUUCUUUUUUCUGGUUUCUUUCAAACAAUAUUGCAUUUGACCUUGAAACUUUGCAGGUCAACUACACGCAAGUGCCACUCUUUGUAUAAAAUAUUUCUGAUUUUUUUAUAACACAUAAAAUUGUUAAAUUACGAAUGAGUUAUACCAUUUAAAAAUUUAUAUUGCGCCAAAAAAAUCCGAAACAUUUCUUCACAUGGCAGUACUUGUGUGAUGUUUUAUUUGCAAAGCUUUGAGUUCAAAUUUUUUUUUUGGGGGGAAACAAAAGAGAGAAGUUCGGCCGCAUGAAUUUUGAUGCAAAAAUGGACGAUCAGAUAGAUAGAAGGUGUAUUGGUAUGGUUGGUAUGGUAGUACGAUCACAACUUGCCCUAGUCUAAACUCUAUCCUGCAUUGGGCUUUAUUGAUCUGGAAUUUUUAUAUGUACAGUUCUUUGCUCAGCCACCUACAGAAGUAAGAAGCAUGAUAAGUCUUGGGCCUGCUGAAUCUUUUGAAAAUUUCCAUCACACUUCCAUGAAAUCGAGGUUUUGUAAUAGUAUUGAGCGAAGAAAAAACAAGUUACAUACAGAUACUUUGUGCUUUUUAAAUUUAGCCUUCUAAGAGCAUCUACAGAUAAUCUGGCCCCUUCAAACUUCCGUGAACAUGCCCGGACGCGUCCGCAGACAGUGACCAGUCACCCCUUAAUUUUUCACUUACACAAUCAUGUACCUCAUUUAGCAAACCUCAAAUUGUAAGUGCAUCUAGUGCCCCUUAGUGAUUUUGGUGUAUUGAAGACUUAUAGGUUAAGGGACUAAUGUGUUUAUGAGUGUACACAUGUCUAUAAGUCUAUGAGGAGUUUGAUAUUUACAGAGAAAGUCGACCCCUAAAAAUGAAUAUCUUCGACUGAAGAUUUUGAUAUUCCUGAAGACUUUCAUGAAGACUUUGAAAGUGAAGAAAUUGGUGUGUCCGUGAAGACUUGAUAUUCAUGCAAGGAAUAUGAAGCUUGAAGACUUUCAUUUUUAUAGUUUUGUUUUUCUCUUUCUUCAGUCAUAAGAAACACCGUACUGUUAAAGGGGGUCGAGGAAAAACUAAGGAAAAAAUUUCAUGUGAUGCUCACCUCAAAAUCCUACACCUACCAAUCCCUUCGAGUGAAGCCAUUGGAAAUCUCAUACAGUUCAGUCAAUUCCUUCAGUGACAGAGACGAAGUUCUUCUGGUCGCUGAGGAAUUUGUUCUGACUGAGGAGUUAGGAAUUCGCCAGUGCGGAUUGCCUACACAGUGAGGAACAUGAUAGCCCUGAGGAAUUUGAGAGUCAAAAUUCCGAUCGUUGCUGUGCUGCGCGCCAGUUGUUCCAAAAUAUCUUAUCCACCUAACGGUCAUAUCUUUGAAGUGCAUUUAUAUCUUAUCAUUUCGGGCUGCUCCCUAGGCUAUAAAUAGCCGCCCCUUACAACCACUAGCUGGUUGGCUGCUCCGAGAAAAACUGACACUUGUUAUUUGAGAGCAACCCAUCCUUCAAGGACUUUGAGCGAAAAUCAUCGAGUGAGGAAAAACCCAAACUCAAACACCUACAAACCCAAAGUGAUUGAGAAUCACUGAAGAGAUUGAUCCUGCGUGGAUCCGACGCUUGUUACCUUUGAAGACUGUGCUUCUUCCAGACGGUUAGGCGUCAUGGUCUAGAGCAUCCAAGAGGAAUUGUGAAUCGCCGAGUGACCGAAGUCUGUGAAGGUUUGGAAGUCGCCUAAAGACUUACCACGAGUGAUUGGACGAGGUAUGUGUGACCUUAGUUCAAGGAGAAUACGGUGAGGACUUGGUGUCCUGAGCUGCUUGCUCAGCGAUUGGGUGUCCGAGACUGUGUGUCCUCGAGUUUAAAUACUCAGCCGCUCCAACCAGACGUACAACUGAGACAUCAGUUGGAACUGGUCUACCAAAUCAUUGUCUUCACCAACCUUACUGGUUCUAUUUCCUCAACUCUUUCAUUUCUUCAUUACUGUGUUGAGUGAUUGUUCAUAUCUGUAUUUGAAGAUUUUGACUGAAGACUUUCUCAAUUUCCUCAGUUCAAUUUCUUCAGUCUGUUUGUCUUCAUCUUGUGUUAUCCCGUGUUUACGCUUUAUGUACUCUGUGUUUGUCUUCAUUUCAUCAUUAUGACUAUGUGUGUAUUCUGUCAUGCUUACUUCUGAGUACUUAUUCCGCUGCAAGUAGUUCUUCGCUAAGGAAUUUCCUCACCGGCAAAUUCCUAAGUGAAGAAUUCAUAAAAAUCGCCUAUUCACCCCCCUCUAGUCGAUAUAACGCACUUUUAAUUGGUAUCAGAGCAAGGUACUCCCUUGUUCUGUGUGAUUUUGGUUUAACCACCUGGAGUUCUAGUUAUGUCAACUGCAGGAUCGAGGAACAUUUCCUGCCCCAUUUUUGACGGUCAUGAGUAUCCUCGGUGGAAGGUCAUGAUGAAAAAGCGACUCAUGGCUAUGGACAGUGAACUAUGGACCAUCACCGAGAUCGGUCUUACCGAUCUAUGCAAGAUGGCUGAGGCUGAUGACAUUCGCAAGUACACACUGCUUAAUCUCACAGCGAAGGAUGUCAUCUGCUCUAGUCUGUCCCAAAAUCAGUUCAGGAACGUCAUGCAUCUCAAUCACGCGAAGCUAAUCUGGGACCGUCUCUCUGAGGUCUAUGAAGGUCAUCGGACUCGUCAUGAUCCUUGGUUUGAGGAUUACAAGGAAUCUCUCAAUGCGAUGACAUUCGAACCAGAAUCAUCAUCGUCUACCCCCUGCCUUAUGGCAAACGGUGUUGAGGUAACCGAAUCCUACCUAUCCGAAUCUAGUGAUGAUGAAUCUGGCGAUGAAUUUGGACCUAGCUAUGUCAAACUUGCUUCCCUUGCCACUAAACAACAAAGAGCCUUGGAAAAAGUUCAAUACAUGCUAAAUAAGAGCGAUGAUAUGUUGGGUGAAGAAAUGGAUCAGUCAAAAGCCUUGGCUGAAAGUCUUCAGGGACUCCAUUCCAAGUUUGACGACCUUCAAGGUCAUCAUAAUGCUCUCUUAUCUGAUCACGAGAAGCUUUCUCUUGAACUUCUUCAAAGAAAGCAAGAUCUUGAGAAGCUAAGGGUGAGUUAUGAAGAUUUUCAGAAGGAGCGCGAUUCAUUACUUGCUCAACAAAUCAGCGCUACUCAGGAAGAAUUUGACCCUCCAUGCUUAAAGUGCAUUGAACGUGAAUCUGCUAAUUCUUCACCUGAAUGUUCAAAUGCUUCAAAUGUUACAAAUUCUUCACCUGCCUCUGCUAUCACUAAUUCCUCAUCUGAGGACAUUGUUAGUAUCACUAACGAUGCAGGGCUGAAGGAAUUGUACAUGACAGACAUGUACAGAAGCCUCAAAGGGCAUCAAACUCUUUGUGAUGUGCUUAAGAAGCAGAUCCUCAACAGAAACCCUAGGAAAGAGGGUAUUGCCUUUGAGAGGAAACUCAAUGCUGAUGGAACAUAUUGGAAGCAUGAGCAGUACCCCAAAACCUCAUGGGUUGCUGCAAAGGGACCUCCAGUUGAUCCAUCUAACUUAUCUGGCUUUACAUGUGAAUCUCCUCAUUCUUCUGAUGAGUCAUUUGACUCCAACUAUAAACUGUUCAAAAAUCAGAAUGUGAAGUAUUUGCUAGAUAUGUUGGCACUAACUGCAGGAACGGUUCCCCUAUGAAGAAAAUCCGGGUUCCCAAAAGUUAUGUUGAAAGUCUUCAGGUGAAUGUCCUCACGACACCACCAGUGAAGAAUAGGAACCCCAGAUCAAACUCUUCAUAUGGACCAAAUUCUUCAUAUGGAUCCAAGUCCUCAUACGGACAAAAUUCCUCACGUAGAUCAAAUUCCUCAAAUGGAUCAAAGUCCUCAUAUGAACAUCAUCGUGCUAACCCUUCUGUUUCGCAGGGUAGAGCUAAGGGCUAUGAAUAUGCGCAUUAUUCUUCAAAUCAUUAUGUUCAUAAGUCCUCGAAAAAUUUCUCUGCUUAUUCAUAUGCUUACCCUAACCCCUCUUAUGUGAAGCGAAGUGGACUAGCUUCUAUGACACCUUUCUCAUAUGGUGCUCGCAGAGUGAUGAAUUCUUUGCCACCCCUUCAGAUGUUGGUGGUGAAGAAAAAGAACUAACUUCUUCCGCAGGGUCAGGUCUCCAGACGUGCUUUAACGUCUGAAGAAUUUGCUGGGGGCCUGACAAAAUGCCUGAAAGGACGCAGACGAAUCAUGAUGAAAUGAACUUUCAUUUCACACGUCCUCACACUGCUUAUCUGUGCUAUUGCUUGAUGAAAUUGAAUUGAUGAAAUUGACGUCAUAUUCUUCACUGAUGAAGUAUAUGAGUUCGUAAGAUGCACUAAUUCAUCUGCAGGAUGAUCAGCCCAAAGCAAACUAGUGGGUCCUCGAUAGUGGAUGUACAAAUCACAUGACUGGUGACAAGAACCUAUUGAUGGAUGCUCCCUUAACACCGUCAUAUCUGAAGCAUAUCAUCUUCCCUGACAAAGGCAAAAGUCAGGUAUUGGGUCUAGGUAAGUUUGCGAUCUCAAAGGAUCGACACAUGGACAAAGUCAUGCUUGUCGAGUCCUUAGGAUAAAACCUCAUGUCUGUCUCAAUGCUUUGUGAUCUCGAUAUGGUUGUUGUCUUUGGAAGAUAUCGUUGUGUUGUGAUCAUGGAAGCUGACCAUUCCAAAGUCUUUGAAGGCUUUAGGAGAGGAGAUCUGUAUAUUGUUGAUUUCUCUACAGGACCACAACCAGCCGUGUGCUUACUGGCAAAAGCUUUAGAAGGCUGGCUAUGGCAUCGACGACUUGGUCACGCAGGCAUGAGGAAUUUGCACACGCUUGCGAAGAAGAAGCAUGCCAUUGGCAUUGAGAAUGUCAAAUUCCUCAAGGAUCACUUGUGUGGUGCCUGUGAAGCUGGAAAAUGAUCAAGGCCAAGCAUCCAGCGAAGACUAUCAUGAUCACUACUCGUCCAUUCGAAUUGCUUCACAUGGAUAUCUUCGGUCCUAAUCAUUAUUCUGCUAUGACGAAUGAGGCAUCUCUAUAUGGUUUUGUUAUUGUUGAUGAUUAUUCUCGUUACACAUGGGUACACAUUGUCACUUACAAACAUGAAGUGCAGGAAGUCUUCAAACGAUUUUCCUCGAGGGCUUCAACCAACUUUGGUGUGAAGAUCAAACACAUAAGAAGUGACAAUGGGACUGAGUUCAAGAAUUCCGGUCUUGAUGGCUAUCUUGAUGAACUUGGUAUUACUCAUGAGUUAUCUGCUCCUUAUACUCCUCAACAGAAUGGCGUCGUGGAGCGCAAGAACAGAACUCUUGUUGAGAUGGCUCGCACUAUGCUUGAUGAAUACAAAACGCCUCGUCGUUUUUGGAUUGAUGCAAUUGAUACCGCGUGCCACAUCAUCAACAGAGUAUAUCCUCACAAAUUCUUCAAGAAGACAACCUAUGAACUCCUCACUGACAAGAAACCCAAUGUGAGUUAUUUCAAAGUCUUCGGUGCUAAAUGUUGGAUUAGGGAUCCUCAUCACAAUGCUAAAUUCGCACCGAAAGCACAUGAAGGUUUUAUGCUUGGUUACGGAAAGGACUCGCACACCUACAGAGUCUUCAACAACGCUCUUCACAAGGUUGUUGAAAUUGUAGAUGUGCGGUUCGAUGAAACUAAUGGCUCGCAAAGAGAGCACCUACCUUCUGUGAUAGAUGAACCAGCACCUGAGGAUUCUAUCAAGUUCAAGGCUACUGAGGAUGUCAUUUCUACCGAAGAAUCUACUAAAGAAUUCAUUCCAGAACGCGAAGAUCUUCAAGCUAAUGCACCUGAGGAAAAUGCUGAAGAAAAUGGUGCUGAAGAAAAUGCUGAUCAAGUUCCUCGACGACAACCAGCUCAUCCUCGCGUUGCAAAAGAAGUGCAAGUUGAAAAGAUCAUCGAUGACAUUGAAGCAACAGGUCCUCUCACCCGCUCAAAAGCUUCACAUUUAUCUAACUUUUGUGGGCACUAUGCUUUUGUCUCCAUCACAGAGCCCACUAAGGUAGAUGAAGCAUUUCUAGAGCCUGAGUGGAUUCAGGCCAUGCAAGAAGAAUUACAUCAGUUCAAGCUCAACAAUGUCUAGGAACUGGUCAAAUGUCCAGAUCCUUGCAAGCAUAAUAUCAUCGACACAAAGUGGAUCUACCGCAGCAAGCAAGAUGAAAAUGGCCUUGUGGUGAGGAAUAAGGCACGACUUGUAGCUCAAGGCUACACACAGGUUGAAGGAAUUGAUUUCGAUGAAACUUUUGCACCUGUUGCUAGACUUGAGGCUAUUCGCAUAUUACUUGCUUAAGCUAACCAUCAUAAUAUCACUUUAUAUCAAAUGGAUGUGAAAAGUGCAUUCCUCAAUGGUAAGCUUGAGGAAGAAGUAUAUGUUGCUCAACCCCCAGGUUUUGAAGAUCCAAAGAAUCCUGACAAAGUCUUCAGACUCAACAAGGCCCUCUAUGGCCUCAAGCAGGCCCCUCGGGCGUGGUAUGAUACUUCGAAGGAAUUCUUCGUGAAGAAUGGCUUCACACCCGGUUCACUCGACCCUACUCUCUUUACUAAAUCUUAUGAUGGUGAACUAUUUGUGUGCCAAAUAUACGUUGAUGAUAUUAUCUUUGGCUGUACUGACCAACGUUAUAGUGAUGAAUUUGCCUAUAUGAUGAGUGAAGAAUAUCAAAUAUCUAUGAUGGGAGAAUUUAAAUUCUUUUUAGGUCUUCAAAUUCGUCAACAACGCAAUGGCAUAUUCAUAUCUCAGGAGAAAUACCUCAAGGAUGUUCUGAGGAAAUUCGGCAUGCAAGAUUGCAAAGGAGUCAAAAUUCCUAUGCCCACAAAUGGCCAUCUAUGCACUGAUGAAAAUGGUAUUGACUUCGAUCACAAGGUAUACCGCUCCAUGAUUGGUUCUUUAUUGUACUUAUGUGCAUCUAGGCCAGAUAUAAUGCUUAGUGUUUGCAUGUGUGCCCGAUUUCAAGCUACACCGAAGGAAUCACACCAUAAGGCUGUGAAGCAUAUUCUUCGAUAUCUAGCUCACACACCAACACUAGGACUAUGGUACCCCAAGGGCUCUACUUUUGAUCUCAUUGGAUAUUCUGACUCUGACUAUGCUGGUGAUCGUGUGAACCGCAAGUCAACAUCUGGUACCUGUCAUUUCCUCGGACGAUCUUUGGUCUGUUGUUCCUCGAAGAAACAGAACUGCGUAUCUGUUGGAAAUAUGCCCUAGAGGCAAUAAUAAAUUAGUUAUUAUUAUAUUUCCUUGUUCAUGAUAAUCGUUUAUUAUCCAUGCUAUAAUUGUAUUGAUAGGAAACUCAGAUACAUGUGUGGGUACAUAGACAACACCAUGUCCCUAGUAAGCCUCUAGUUGACUAGCUCGUUGAUCAAUAGAUGGUUACGAUUUCCUGGCCAUGGACAUUGGAUGUCGUUGAUAAUGGGAUCACAUCAUUAGCAGAAUGAUGUGAUGGACAAGACCCAAUCCUAAGCCUAGCACAAAGAUCGUGUAGUUCAUAUGCUAAAGCUUUUCUAAUGUCAAGUAUCAUUUCCUUAGACCAUGAGAUUGUGCAACUCCCGGAUACCAUAGGAAUGCUUUGGGUGUACCAAACGUCACAACGUAACUGGGUGGCUAUAAAGGUGCACUACAGGUAUCUCCGAAAGUGUCUGUUGGGUUGGCACGAAUCGAGACUGGGAUUUGUCACUCUGUGUGAAUGGAGAGGUAUCUCUGGGCCCACUCGGUAGGACAUCAUCAUAAUGUGCACAAUGUGACCAAGGGGUUGAUCACGGGAUGAUGUGUUACAGAACGAGUAAAGAGACUUGCCGGUAACGAGAUUGAACAAGGUAUCGGUAUACCGACGAUCCAAUCUCGGGCAAGUACAAUACUGUUAGACAGAGGGAAUUGUAUACGGGAUCGAUUGAGUCCUUGACAUCGUGGUUCAUUCAAUGAGAUCAUCGUGGAACAUGUGGGAGCCAACAUGGGUAUCUAGAUCCCGCUGUUGGUUAUUGACCGGAGAACAUCUCGGUCAUGUCUGCAUGGUUCCCGAACCCGUAGGGUCUACACACUUAAAGUUCGAUGACGCUAGGGUUAUAAAGGAAGUUUGUAUGUGGUUACCGAAUGUUGUUCGGAGUCCCGGAUGAGAUCGCGGACAUCGCGAGGAGUUCCGGAAUGGUCCGAAGGUAAAGAUUUAUAUAUGGGAAGUCCUGUUUUGGUUACCGGAAAAGUUUCGGGUUUUAUCGGUAACGUACCAGGACCACCGGGAGGGUCCCGGGGGUCCACCAAGUGGGGCCACCGGCCCCGGAGGGCUGCAUGGGCCAAGUGUGGGAGGGGACCAGCCCCAGGUGGGCUGGUGCGCCCCCACAAGGGCCCAAGGCGCCUAGGGUUUGGGGGAGGGGCGCACCCACCUAACUUGGGGGGCAAGUUUCCCCUCUCCCCCCUUGGCCGCCCCCCCAGAUGGGAUCUUGGGCUGGCCGCCGCCCCUAGGGUGGAACCCUAGGUGGGGGCGCAGACCCCUCUCCCCCUAUAUAUAGUGGAGGCAAAGGAGCAGCCCAACACACGAAGUUCUUCUCAUGUUGGCGCAGCCCUACCUCUCUUUCUCCUCAUAUCUCGCGGUGCUUGGCGAAGCCCUGCUGGAUCACCACGCUCCUCCACCACCACCACGCCGUUGUGCUACUGCUGGAUGGAGUCUUCCCCAACCUCUCCCUCUCUCCUUUCUGGAUCAAGGCAUGGGAGACGUCACCGGGCUAUACGUGUGUUGAACACGGAGGUGCCAUCCGUUCGGCACUAGGAUCUUCGGUGAUUUGGAUCACGACGAGUAUGACUCCUUCAACCCCGUUCUCUUGAACGCUUCCGCUUAGCGAUCUACAAGGGUAUGUAGAUGCACUCUCCUUCCCCUCGUUGCUGGUUUCUCCAUAGAUAGAUCUUGGUGACACGUAGGAAUUUUUUUGAAUUUCUGCUACGUUCCCCAACAGUGGCAUCAUGAGCUAGGUCUAUUGCGUAGAUUCUUUGCACGAGUAGAACACAAAGUAGUUGUGGGCGUUGAUUUUGUUCAAUAUGCUUACCGUUACUAGUCCAAUAUUGUUUCGACGGUAUUGUGGGGUGAAGCGGCCCGGACUGACCUUACACGCACACUUACGUGAGACAGGUUCCACCGACUGACACGCACUUGGUGCAUAAGGUGGCUAGCGGGUGCCAGUCUCUCCCACUUUAGUCAGAACGGAUUCGAUGAAAAGGGUCCUUAUGAAGGGUAAAUAGCAAUUGGCAUAUCACGUUGUGGUUUUGCGUAGGUAAGAAACGUUCUUGCUAGAAACCCAUAGCAGCCACGUAAAACAUGCAAACAACAAUUAGAGGACGUCUAACUUGUUUUUGCAGGGUAUGCUAUGUGAUGUGAUAUGGCCAAAAGGAAUGUGAUGAAUGAUAUGUGAUGUAUGAGAUUGAUCAUGUUCUUGUAAUAGGAAUCACGACUUGCAUGUCGAUGAGUAUGACAACCGUCAGGAGCCAUAGGAGUUGUCUUUAAUUUAUUGUAUGACCUGCGUGUCAUUGAACAACACCAUGUAAUUACUUUACUUUAUUGCUAACCGGUAGCCAUAGUAGUAGAAGUAAUAAGUUGGCGAGAUAACUUCAUGGAGACACGAUGAUGGAGAUCAUGAUGAUGGAGAUCAUGGUGUCAUGCCGGUGACGAUGAUGAUCUUGGAGCCCCGAAGAUGGAGAUCAAAAGGAGCAAAAUGAUAUUGGCCAUAUCAUGUCACUAUUUGAUUGCAUGUGAUGUUUAUCAUGUUUAUACAUCUUAUUUGCUUAGAACGACGGUAGUAAAUAAGAAGAUCCCUCAUUAAAAUUUCAAGAAAGUGUUCCCCCUAACUGUGCACCGUUGCGAAAGUUCGUCGUUUCGAAGCACCACGUGAUGAUCGGGUGUGAUAGAUUCUUAUGUUCACAUACAACGGGUGUAAGCCAGAUUUACACACACAAAACACUUAGGUUAACUUGACGAGCCUAGCAUGUACAGACAUGGCCUCGGAACACAAGAGACCGAAAGGUCGAGCAUGAGUCGUAUGGAGGAUACGAUCAACAUGAAGAUGUUCACCGAUGAUGACUAGUCCGUCUCACGUGAUGAUCGGACACGGCCUAGUUGACUCGGAUCAUGUAAUCACUUAGAUGACUAGAGGGAUGUCUAUCUGAGUGGGAGUUCAUAAGAUGAACUUGUUUAUCCUGAACAUAGUCAAAAGGUUUUUGCAAAUUAUGUCAUAAGCUCGUGCUUUAGUUCCACUGUUUAGAUAUGUUCCUAGAGAAAAUAUAGUUGAAAGAUGACAGUAGCGAUUAUGCGGACAGUAGAAAGCUUAUGUCCUUAAUGCACCGCCCAGUGUGCUGAACCCCAAACGUCGUCUGUGGAUGUUGCGAACAUCAUACAUACACGUUUUGAUAACUACGUGAUAGUUCAAUUAAAUGGUUUAGAGUUGAGGCACCAAAGAUGUUUUUCGAAAUGUCGCAGAACAUAUGAGAUGUUUCGAGGGCUGAAAUUGGGAUUUCAGGCUCGUGCCCACGUCAAGAGGUAUAAGACCUCCGACGAUUUUCUUAGCCUGCAAACUAAGGGAGAAAAGCUCAAUCGUUGAGCUUGUGCUCAGAUUGUCUGAGUGCAACAAUCACUUGAAUCGAGUGGGAGUUGAUCUUCCAGAUGAGAUAGUGAUGUUUCUCCAAAGUCAUUGCCACCAAGCUGCUAGAGCUUCAUGUUGAACUAUAACAUAUCAGGGAUAGAUACGAUGAUCCUUGAGGUAUUCGCGAUGUUUGACACCACGAAAGUAGAAAUCAAGAAGGAGCAUCAAUUGUUGAUGGUUGGUGAAACCACUAGUUUCAAGAAGGGCAAGGGCAAGAAGGGAUACUUCAUGAAACGGCAAAUCUGCUGCUGCUCUAGUGAAGAAACCCAAGGUUGAACCCAAACCCGAGACUAAGUGCUUCUGUAAUAAGGGGAACAGCCACUGGAGCAGAAUUACCCUAGAUACUUGGUAGAUGAGAAGGCUGGCAAGGUCGAUAGAAGUAUAUUGGAUAUACAUUAUGUUAAUGUGUACUUUACUAGUACUCCUAGUAGCACCAGAGUAUUAGAUAUCGGUUCGGUUGCUAAGUGUUGGUAACUCGAAAUAAAAGCUACGGAAUAAACGGAGACUAGCUAAAGGUGAGCUGACGAUAUGUGUUGGAAGUGUUUCAAGGUUGAUGUGAUCAAGCAUCGCACGCUCCCUCUACCAUCGAGAUUGGUGUUAAACCUAAAUGAUUGUUUUUGGUGUUUGCGUUGAGCAUAGACAUGAUUGGAUUAUGUCUAUCGCAAUACGGUUAUUCAUUUAAGGAGAAUAAUGGUUACUCUAUUCGAAUAAUACCUUCAAUGGUCUUACACCUAAAAGAAUGGUUUAUUGAAUCUUGAUUGUAGUGAUACACAUUUUCAUGCCAAAAGAUAUAAGAUAGUAAUGAUAGUACCACUUACUUGUGGCACUGCAAUGUAAGUCAUAUUGGUGUAAAACGCAUGAAGAAGCUCCAUGUUGAUGGAUCUUUGGACUCACUCAUUUUGAAAAGUUUGAGACAUGCGAACCGUGUCUAUUGGUGUAUACGCAUGAAGAAACUCCAUGCAGAUGGAUCGUUUGGACUCACUUGAUUUUGGAUCACUUGAGAUAUGCAAAUCAUACCACAUGGGCAAGAUGACUGAAAGCCUCGUUUUCAAUAAAAUGGAACAAGAAAGCAACUUGUUGGAAGUAAUACAUUUUGAUGUGUGCAUUCCAAUGAGUGCUGAGGCACGCAGUAGAUAUCAUUAUGUUCUUACUUCAUGGAUGAUUUGAGUAGAUACUGAGUAUAUUUACUUGAUGAAACACAAGUCUGAAUUAUUGAAUGGUUCAAGUAAUUUCAGAGUGAAGUUGAAGAUCAUUGUGACAAGAGGAUAAAAUGUCUAUGAUAUGAUCAUAGAGAUGAGUAUCUGAGUUACGAGCUUUGGCACGCAAUUAAGACAUUGUGGAAAUUGUUUCACAAUUAAUACCGCCUGGAACACCAUAGUGUGAUGGUGUGUCCUAACAUCAUAGUUGCACCCUAUUGGAUAUGGUGCGUACCAUGAUGUCUCUUAUCAAAUUACCACUAUCGUUCAUGGGUUAGGCAUUAGAGACAACCGCACUCACUUUAAUAGGGCACCACGUAAUUCCGUUGAGAUGACACCGUUUGAACUAUGGUUUGGAGAAACCCUAGUUGUCGUUUCUUAAAAGUUUGGGGCUGCGACGCUUAUGUGAAAAGUUUCAGAUUGAUAAGCUCGAACCCAAAGCGGAUAAAAUGCAUCUUCAUAGGACACCCAAAAACAGUUGGGUAUACCUCCUAUCUCAGAUCUGGAAGCAAAAAUUAAUUGUUUCUAGAAACGGGUCUUUUCUCGAAGAAAAGUUUCUCUCGAAAGAAUUGAGUGGGAGGAUGGUGGAGACUUGAUGAGGUUAUUUAAACCAUCACUUCAACCAGUGUGUAGCAGGGCACAUGAAGUUGUUCAUGUGGCACCUACACCAAUUGAAGCGGAAGCUGAUGAUAGUGAUCCGGAUGCUUCGGAUCAAGUCACUAUCGAACCUCGUAGGUCGACAAGGACGCGUACUACUUCAGAGUGGUACGCAAUCCUGUCUUAGAGGUCAUGUUGCUAGACAACAAUGAACCUACGAGCUAUGGAGAAGCGAUGGUGGGCCCAAAUUCUGACGAAUGGCUCGAGGCCAUAAAAUUCGAGAAAGGAUCCAUGACUUUGGAAGAAAUACUUGAUGGACGUAAGGCCGUUGGGUAAAGAUGGAUCUUAAAAGGAAGACAGACAAUUAUGGUAAGUAUCACCAUUAAGAAAGCUCAACUUGUCGUUAAAGAUGUUUUCCGACAAGUUCAAGGAGUUGACUACGGUGAGGCUUUCUCACUCGUAGCGAUGCUAAGAGUCUGUUGGAAUUGGAUCAGCAGUUACUGCAUUAUUUAUGAAAUCUUGCAUAUAGGAUGUCAAAACAUUGUUUCCUUGACAGUUUUCUUGAGGAAAUGUUGUAUAUAAUACAACCAGAAGGUUUUUGACAAUCCUGAAAGACGCUAACAAGUAUGCAAAGCUCCAGCAAUCCUUCUAAGGACUGGAGUAAGCAUCUCGGAGUUGGAAUGUACGCUUUGAUGAGAUGAUCAAAGAUUUUGGGUCUAUAAAGUUUAUGAGAAACUUGUAUUUCCAAAGAAGUGAGUGGGAGCACUAUAGAAUUUCUGAUGAGUAUAUGUUGUUGACAUAUUGUUGAUCAAAAAUGAUGUAGAAUUUCUGGAAAGCAUAUAGGGUUAUUUGAAAAGUGUUUUUCAAUAGAAAACCUGGAAUAAGCUGCUUGAACAUUGAGCAUCAAGAUCUAUGAGGAUAGAUCAAAAACGCUAAAUGGUACUUUCCAAUGAGCACAUACCUUGACAUGAUCUUGAAGGUGUUCAAGAUGGAUCAGUCAAAGAAGGAGUUCUUGCCUGAGUUGUAAGGUAUGAAGUUAAGACUUAAAGCUCGACCACGGCAGAAUAGAGAGAAAGGACGAAGGUCGUCCCCUAUGCUUCAGACGUAGGCUCUAUAGUAUGCUAUAUUGUGUACCGCACCGGAAGUGUGCCCUACCAUGAGUCAGUCAAGGGGUACAAGAAUGAUCCAGGAAUGGAUCAUUGGACAGCGGUCAAAAAUUGUCCUUGGAGUAAAUAAAGACAUGUUUCUCGAUUAUGGAGGUGAUAAAGAGUUCGGCGUAAAGGGUUACGUUGAUGCAAGCUUUAACACCUAUCCGAGUGACUCUGAGUAGCAAACCGGAUACGUAUAGUGGAGCAACCAUUUGGAAUAGCUCCAAGUGGAGCGUGGAAGCAGCAUUUACAGAAUGACCUAGAGAUUUGCAGAGUACAUACGGAUCUGAAAGUUGCAGACCCCUUGACUAAAACCUCUCUCACAAGCAAAACAUGAUCAAACCCCAGAACUCAUUGAGUCUUAAUCACAUGAUGAUGUGAACUAGUUUAAUGACACUAGUAAACUCUUUGGAUGUUGGUCACAUGGCGAUGUGACCUGUGAGUGUUAAUCACAUGGCGAUGUGAACUAGAUUAUUGACUCUAGUGCAAGUGGGAGACUGUUGGAAAUAUGCCCUAGAGGCAAUAAUAAAUUAGUUAUUAUUAUAUUUCGUUGUUCAUGAUAAUCGUUUAUUAUCCAUGCUAUAAUUGUAUUGAUAGGAAACUCAGAUACAUGUGUGGGUACAUAGACAACACCAUGUCCCUAGUAAGCCUCUAGUUGACUAGCUCGUUGAUCAAUAGAUGGUUACGGUUUCCUGGCCAUGGACAUUGGAUGUCGUUGAUAACGGGAUCACAUCAUUAGCAGAAUGAUGUGAUGGACAAGACCCAAUCCUAAGCCUAGCACAAAGAUUGUGUAGUUCGUAUGCUAAAGCUUUUCUAAUGUCAAGUAUCAUUUCCUUAGACCAUGAGAUUGUGCAACUCCCGGAUACCAUAGGAAUGCUUUGGGUGUACCAAACGUCACAACGUAAUUGGGUGGCUAUAAAGGUGCACUACAGGUAUCUCCGAAAGUGUCUAUUGGGUUGGCACGAAUCGAGACUGGGAUUUGUCACUUCGUGUAAACGGAGAGGUAUCUCUGGGCCCACUCGGUAGGACAUCAUCAUAAUGUGCACAAUGUGACCAAGGGGUUGAUCAUGGGAUGAUGUGUUACGGAACGAGUAAAGAGACUUGUCGGUAACGAGAUUGAACAAGGUAUCGGUAUACCGACGAUCGAAUCUCGGGCAAGUACAAUACCGUUAGACAAAGGGAAUUGUAUACAGGAUCGAUUGAGUCCUUGACAUCGUGGUUCAUCCGAUGAGAUCAUCGUGGAACAUGUGGGAGCCAACAUGGGUAUCCAGAUCCCGCUGUUGGUUAUUGACCGGAGAAUGUCUCGGUCAUGUCUGCAUGGUUCCCGAACCCGUAGGGUCUACACACUUAAAGUUCGAUGACGCUAGGGUUAUAAAGGAAGUUUGUAUGUGGUUAUCGAAUGUUUUUCGUCCCGUAUGAGAUCCCGGACGUCGCGAGGAGUUCCAGAAUGGUCCAGAGGUAAAGAUUUAUAUAUGGGAAGUCCUGUUUUGGUCACCAGAAAAGUUUCGGGUUUUAUCGGUAAUGUACCGGGACCACCGGGAAGGUCCCGGGGGUCCAACAAGUGGGGCCAUCGGCCCCGGAGGGCUGCAUGGUCCAAGUGUGGGAGGGGACCAGCCCCAGGUGGGCUGGUGCGCCCCCCCCCCACAAGGGCCCAAGGCGCCUAGGGUUUGGGGGAGGGGGCGCACCCACCUAACUUGGGGGGCAAGUUUCCCCUCUCCUCCCCUUGGCCGCCCCCCCAGAUGGGAUCUUGGGCUGGCCGCCGCCCCUAGGGUGGAACCCUAGGUGGGGGCGCAGCCCCCUCUCCCCCUAUAUAUAGUGGAGGCAAAGGAGCAGCCCAACACACGAAGUUCUUCUCAUGUUGGCGCAGCCCUACCUCUCUUUCUCCUCAUAUCUCGCGGUGCUUGGCGAAGCCCUGCUGGAUCACCACGCUCCUCCACCACCACCACGCCGUUGUGCUGCUGCUGGAUGGAGUCUUCCCCAACCUCUCCCUCUCUCCUUGCUGGAUCAAGGCAUGGGAGACGUCACCGGCCUGUACGUGUGUUGAACGCGGAGGUGCCCUCCGUUCGGCACUAGGAUCUCCGGUGAUUUGGAUCACGACGAGUACGACUCCUUCAACCCCGUUCUCUUGAACGCUUCCGCUUAGCGAUCUACAAGGGUAUGUAGAUGCACUCUCCUUCCCCUCGUUGCUGGUUUCUCCAUAGAUAGAUCUUGGUGACACGUAGGAAUUUUUUUGAAUUUCUGCUACAUUCCCCAACAGUAUCACUGUCUACUGCGGAAGCUGAAUACAUUGCUGCUAGUUCUUGCUGUGCUCAAUUGAUGUGGAUGAAGCAAACUCUCAAGGACUACGGCAUCAAUGUGAAGAAUGUGCCUCUCUAUUGUGACAAUGAGAGUGCCAUCAAGUUUGCUCACAACCUAGUUCAGCACUCGAAGACAAAGCACAUUCAGAUUCGUCAUCAUUUUCUUCGCGAUCAUGUGUUGAAGGGCGACAUCUUUAUUGAUCAUGUGAAGCCUGAAGAAUAGCUAGCCGAUAUCUUCACAAAGCCCUUGGAUGAGAAGAGAUUUAGCAAGUUGCGGUGUGAGCUAAAUAUCUUAGAGUCUUCGAAUGUUCUUUGAAAAAGGACACUCAUCCUAACACUUAUGCAAAAUUGAUGACUUAGAUGUGCAACACAUGAAGAAACAUUUUUCUUCAAUCAAUGAAUAAUAACACUCUAAGUGUGAAGAAAUUAAUGAAGAAUUUGAUUCUCAGAACCCUACGACAAUUGUACGCGGUGUCUGAAAUCAUCAUUCUUAUACGGUGGGUCACGCCACCACCAAAGUUGAUUUUUUUUUGAAAUUCCUCAGUUUUGAAAUUCUUUAGUUUUUCAAAAUUUUCAACUUUGCAAAAUCUUCACUGUUUCCGUCGUUUUUCUUCAUUGGCUAUAUAUAUUUAUAUGAGUUUAUGUCUUAUACAACAUUCGCUUAUGGCUAUUUCUUCAAGUUGCAUUUUCUGCUAAGUGAAUGUGAUCGGACCCUUUCCCCUCUAUGCUAUACUCAACCCAAUCCAUUCACAAGUUCUUCAUGUGCGUUCUAUUUGAAACUCGUUCAAAAUCUUCACUGUGUCCUUGUCAGCUGAAGAAAUUGUGAACGAAACUUAAAACCUUAUCUUAUCCAAAUUUUGGGUUUUGCCGCUCAAACCGUCCCGUAUCCCACGAUAGAAUUAUCUAUUCACCCACGAUCUAACAUGAUCUCCACUUUUCUGUACAUGGGUGACACAUGUCAAGCGAAUGAGAAGGGUCAGGGGCACGUUCGUCCAAAAUCUUCGGGCGAACAGUUUUUCACUACGACUAUAAAUACCCCUCUCCCCUUCCUCACUUCCUUUACUCCACUCGACCGCUCUCUCUCUCACUCGAGCUUCUCAAACCCUAGUGCCGCCGCUAAUCCAUCAUCGCCGGUGAGGAAGAGCUUCACUGCCUCGACCUCGUUGCCGUCGUACUCGCGCUAGCCGCGGAAAUCUUCACUCCGCCGCUGCCGUAGCUGUCUUCCUCCGCCAAGUUAGGGCGUGGAAGAUCUGAACUGACGAGCUUCAAAUCUACUCUUCUCAGUUCGUCGUGUUCUUCAUCAAGGGUAAUUAAAAGAUACUUUUACUGCCCUCUUUGAUUCAAAUUUUCUCAACAAAAUCUUCAAAGGUGUUUUAUUCUUCAAAUCCUCACACACAAAACACCUCACUAGUCAUCUGCUCUUGAUUCGUUUCUCUAAGCAUCAUUUUUCUUCAAGAUUCCUCAAUUGUGUGGAUCUUCAAUCUAUACAACUCUGGAACCUAAGACAAAGAAAGCUUAGUGAAAUUCUUCAAGACUCAUCUGGUCAAAUUUCUCAAACUUGUUCUUUUUGAAAACCUUCUGAGAACACAUAUGACCUCUUCAAAUUCCUCGCAACUAUACUCUGUUCACAGGUACUCAUGUCCGCUGCUGAAUCACUAGGUUCUCAUCAACUUAACUCAUUUGCAGCGUUCCUUGAAGAAAAGCUGCAUACUUCUUCAGAGAAUUCGAUUGUUAAAAUCCCUCAACUAAAUAAUAUGGCAGACGGUAAGAAACCACAGAAAGGAGGAAAGAGGCCUGAGGUCAUGACUGCGUUUGAAAUACCUGAGAACAUCUAUGCUGACUAUUGCACACCUGAUGAGGCUAAGUUUGGAAAGGAGAAAAAAUCAGCGCAAGGUGCGCAUACAGAGGAUUGAAAGGAGAUGGGCAAAAGAAUGGAGGGAGUACAGAUAUGUAACUCCAAAGUAUAUGAAGAAAUUUGCACUAAAUCCUCCAUGCCCAAGAGAUCCAUUGGCACCUGGCCAAGAAGCUGACCCCACCAGCAUCAAGCGUGGUGAGGAUUUCCCUGAAGAAUGGGCCAAAUGCCAAGCCAAGUUGGCAAGACAAGCCAAAGAAGCAGUGAGGAAAUUCAAUGAAGACUCUGCUACUACUGCUACCACUAAGGCCGCUGUCAGGCCUAGAAAAUCAAUGGCAAAGAAGCCCGCUCACAAGCCAAUUGCUUCACCAACUGUGCCCUCACGGCCAGAUUCUUCAAAGCCCUCACGGCCAGUUCCUCAUGCUGCUCCUGCUCCUCCAAAGUCCUCGGCUCCUCCCCCAAAGUCCUCAGUUGCUCCGGCAAAGUCCUCAACACCUGUACAUCUGGCCACGUGCCAAAGGACUGCAGGCAUCUCUAUUGCCUCUGGUGUCUCAGCGAGUUCCUCAACUGCACCAAACUCUUCAUCAGGCCCCACUCUGCUGAAGACAAAGGCAACAGCUGGUCGAGGUCCUCGGCCAAAUCUGAAGAAGAAACAGGUUGCCUUCCAAGUGCCAUCUGACGAUGAAGCUGAUGAUGAACUUGCAGAAAUCAUCAGAGACAGGCAAGAAAGGGCCGCUAGAGCCAAAGGCACAAAUGUGCCACUGCUUUUCGAUCCAAAGGCGAUCCUCGACUACAUUGAUCUCUGGCACAAGGACCCAAACACUCCUAUGCCUGAUUUUCAUUUGACUCCUGGCCAAAGUCACAUGCUGACCCAUUUCAUCACUGAAGAGGAAUGAAAAUUUGAGAAGGCUAGAUAAAUCAAGAAGGCUCAGUUCAGGAAAGAGAAGUUCCUGAGGAAAAACAUUGUCAAAAUGACAACUGAUGAACUCCUCAAGAUCCAGUCUGAAAUCAAAGCCCUCAGCGAUGAUUUCAAUGCUUAUUAUGCUGAUUGGCAAGGAGCCAAAGUCAGGUUUGUUAAACUGACUGAGAAGUUCACCAAUGUUGUAGCCCCAUCGCAACAAGAAAUUCCUCAAGCUGAAGCUUCUACUCAGCAAACUGAAGAACAUGCCAGCACUGCUGAUGACUUUCAGGCUGUUGAUGAAAAUGCUAGUUCCAGGGCUGAUGUGACGCCCCCGAUUCAAUCGUACACUAAUCAUGCACGCAAAUGUGUACGAUCAAGAUCAGGGACUCACGGGAAGAUAUCACAACACAACUCUACAAAUAAAAUAAGUCAUACAAGCAUCAUAAUACAAGCCAGGGGCCUCGAGGGCUCGAAUACAAGUGCUCGAUCAUAGACGAGUCAGCGGAAGCAACAAUAUCUGAGUACAGACAUAAGUUAAACAAGUUUGCCUUAAGAAGGCUAGCACAAACGGGGGUACAGAUCGAAAGAGGCGCAGGCCUCCUGCCUGGGAUCCUCCUAACUACUCCUGGUCAUCGUCAGCGGGUUGCACGUAGUAGUAGGUGAUGGGGUCAUGUACCUAGGGUAGGGUCACAGACCUGAUCUAAGUACCCUGCCCAAGGACACCCGUAGAAGAGAUCACCUUCCACUCGACCUACGAGGGACUCACUCGACUGACUUGAAGGACUCGACCACGAAGACUCACUCGACCACCAGAAGGUCAAGAGGCACUCGGCACUGCAACGGUCUGUAAUUAAGUAGACUUUAUGAUAGUAAAGACACUUUAUGUGGGGUGUUACCAGUAACACCCCAGACUUAAUGUAUCUUAAACCCUUCAUUACGUGGGUGGCUGGGGUCCUGGCGCACUCUAUAUAAGCCACCCCCUCCACAGGUAGAAGGGUUCGGCACCCUGUAACUCAUAUACACGUAAUCCACUCGACCGCCUCCGGGCUCCGAGACGUAGGGCUUUUACUUCCUCCGAGAAGGGCCUGAACUCGUACAUCUCUUGUGUUUACAACCUCUCCAUAGCUAGGACCUUGCCUCUCCAUACCUACCCCCACUCUACUGUCAGGCUUAGAACCACGACAGUUGGCGCCCACCGUGGGGCAGGUGUUUUAGCGAUUUUGUGGAGAAGUUGCGAUUCUUCCGAGUACUUUCAUCAUGGUGGCUGCUGGAGUUUUGGUCGAGGGUCGAGAGAUCCGUCUCGGUGCUCUCACCUUCGUCGCCGACGACUCCGCCUGGCUCCAGGAGGCUCCACUCAACGUCGAUGCGCUCCCCGUCCGCGGUGCGACGCAUUUUCGCGCAUGUGUCCGCGGCGUUCUGCUGCAGCAACCGUCGACCCCAUAUCGGUCGACUCCCCCAUCGGCCACCCUCCCGGUCUCCCGCCAGCACAAGCGCUCGGGCCGGUCGAGGCUUCAGCGGUGGGUGAGGCACGCGGUGGCUCGCCCGACGGCCACCACCCAAGUUGCGGCAAUCGAGCCCGACGAAUCCCUCUACGGCCCGUUCGAUCUGUCGACUGGCUCCGUAGAGACUGCAUCCGAGUGCGAUAGCAGUGAUCCAGCGGCGGAAAUCCUGAUGGUCGACGGGCCCCGCAGUCCCCCUGGCUUCGCCCAUGAUGGUGGGGCAGGCGACGGAGGCGACCCCGCACGAGACCACGAAGAGUACCAGCCCGAGCCACUCGACUCUCUGCAAAGAGAGGAACUUCGCCGCAGGAAUGUGGAUGCCCUGCAUACUCCCAUCGCAGGAGAAACCCCCGAGGCUCGCGCCUUAGAGGAGGCACAUUUGGCCAACUUGGCCGAACGCGCUCGCUUGGAGAAUCUUCCACUACUAGGAAAAGGGCUAUAGAUGGAAUUGACACUAAUGGCGCACCAGAUAUGUGGUGCGCCAUUAGUAUAUACUAAUGGCGCACCACCCUCUGAUGCGCCAUUAGUGUUGAAACUACUAAUGGCGCACCCUGCCCACGGUGCGCCAUUAGUACCAAUUUUUUUUUGAACUACUGCGCCUGUCCAAACAUACUAAUGGCGCAUCCUCUGGUGGUGCGCCAUUACUAGUUGUAACUAGUAAUGGCGCACCAGCCAGAAGGUGCGCCACUAAUGUUAAUUUUUUUAUUAUUGUUUUAUUCCUUUUUUUGCAAAAGUACUAAUGGCGCACCACCAGGGGGUGCGCCAUUAGUAACCUAGAUUACUAAUGGCGCAUUCGUUGUUGGUGCGCCAUUAGUAAGUGGGCAGCAACAAGAUAUUUUGGACAACCUCUCCUCCCACACUCACUUUCUCCCCACUUCAUUCUCUCCACCGCCUCCUCCUUGUCUCGGGUGCCUCCUCUUUUUCACCUCAUUUCCACCAUAGAUUCAUUCAAAUUAAGUGGUUAAGUUACCUUGUUUUGCUAGGUAAGUAAGGGGGGAAGCUAUAUUUAUGUUGUUCUCCCUACAACAAUGUGCACAUGCACUUUUUAUGCCCUAGCUAGAUCUAUGUAUGUUCCUGGUGUUGCAUAUGUUUGUGGUGUUGCAUAUGUGUUUGUGUUUGGAGGUGUACCGGUAUUUGAAAUGCGAUAGUUGCCAAUAUUCUGCCGGAAUGUUGAUUCAUUUCCGUUUCGGCGAGAAUUUUGGCAUUAAGCAUUCUUUUUGGUCCUAUUUUUAGGGAAAGUCAUGCCAAAUUUUUUCUUGGUUCUAAAAUAUCGUUUUGCUCUACCCCGCAGGAGACCGUGGUCCGCACGAUGACCGAAGGCAUCAUGAAUAGGUUUUUGAGGUCCGCGAAGGCCGAGAUGCUUCAAAAGAACGAGACGGAGAUAAGAUGUCCGUGUCGAAGAUGCAAGCUGAAUAGCCUUAUUGCGGACCCGGAUUCCGGGCAGGUGCGGGACCACCUGCUCUUGCGUGGUUUCAUGGAUGGCUAUCGGUGGCAAGGUGAUGAAGAUGACUACGGAGUCGUCCAUGGGGGCCGGGCAAGAAAUGAGGAAGGGCAGCAAGACAACCACCGCGGCUCGGGGGGGGGGGCGAGAAGACGAAGAAUCCCCAGGAGAUGAUCACCACGGUGAUGCUGUACACAGUCAUCAUGUAGAAGAUGCAGGACAUGAUGAUGAUGCCGGCGGAGUAGACGAUGCUGGACCAUCGAUGGGCUGGGUGCAAGACCCUCAUAUUCAAGAGCUGCUUCUCAAGCAGACGGAUAACGCAAGAGCUGCCGCCCGAGAGAAAGCCAAGAUGGAUCAACUUGAGUUAGACGCGGUUACUCCAUUGUAUGAAGGAUGCAGGCCCGAGGAUACCCGCCUGAAAGUAACGCUCAUGGCUCUGGAGAUGAAGGUAAAACACAAAAUGACCGACGCAUGCUUUGACGAGAACAUGUCAUUCUGGCACGAACGUCUUCCCAAGGGGAACAAGUGCCCGACCAGUUUGGAGGAGGCGAAGAAAAUCGUGUGUCCUCUGGAUUUACCGCAUGUGAAAUACCAUGUGUGCAUGAACAAUUGCAUCAUUUAUCGGGACGAGCACGCGAAGUCUACCAUAUGUCCGGUGUGCGGUGUCACUCGAUACAAGAAGAGGAAGAAAGCUCCUCGAAAAGUGGUGUGGUACUUUCCGAUCACUCCUCGUCUGCAGCGGUAUUUCACGGAUCCUAAGGUAGCAAAGCUCCUGCGUUGGCACGCAGAUAGGGAGGAGAAGAAGCGAGAAGAUGACGCAAAUGAUCCGGAGAUAGAUAAAAAAGACAAGAUGCUGAGUCACCCUAAGGAUGCGAGCUAGUGGCAAGCGUUGAACUUAGAAUACCCAGAAUUUGGGAACGAUCCAAGGAACAUCGUGCUGGGCGCGAGCACCGAUGGAGUCAAUCCGUUUGGCAGCCAGAGAAGCACACAUAGCACCUGGCCUGUGUUUGUGUGGAUGUACAACCUUCCCCCCUGGUUGUGCAUGAAGAGGAAGUACAUUCACAUGAGUAUGCUAAUUGAAGGGCCGAAACAACCAGGGAACGACAUCAAUCUGUAUCUGGGGCUGCUGAAAGAGGAGCUUGACACGCUGUGGAAAACGCCAGCCAAUACGUGGGACGCUGCAGAGAAAGAAUAUUUCCCUAUGAGAGCCGCACUGCUCACGACGGUGCACGACUAUCUCGGUUACGGAUAUCUUGCGGGGCAGGUAGUCCAUGGAUUUUCUGGAUGCGUAAGGUGUAUGGAUGACACAAUGUAUCGCCAGCUAGAUAGAGAUCCCGGGUCUUCGAAAACCGUGUUCUUGGGACAUCGAAGGUGGCUUCGCGAUGAUGACCCGUGGAGGAAACGCAAGGAUUUGUUCGAUGGUGAAACCGAACCCCGAAAACGCCCGUGUACGAGGAGCGGCGAGGAAAUAGACAAGCUGUUGAAAAAUUGGAAAGACUGCCCACUGCCGGGAAAGAAGCAAAAGGCGCCAGAGCCGGGAAAGAAGCGAAAGGCGCCAGAGCCGCUGCUGAAGGUAUGGAAAACGAGGUCUGUUUUCUGGGACUUGCCGUACUGGAAGAUCCACCGUGUGCCUCACAGCCUUGAUGUCAUGCAUAUCACGAAGAACGUGUGCGAGAGUCUGCUUGGUACCCUGCUCAACAUGCCAGAGAGGACCAAAGAUGGGCCGAAAGCAAGGGCAGACUUGAAAUCAAUGGGCAUCAGGCAGGAGCUUCACGCUAUAUAUGAUGAUGAUGAUGAUGAUGAUGAGGCGAAGCAGGACAUAGAAAGUCGUCGCAAAGGCAAAAAGGCCAAGAAGACCGGAAAUGACUACCCUCCCACGUGCUUCACUCUAAGUCAGGAGGAGAUCGAGCAGUUUUUCACCUGCCUCCUAGGAGUAAAACUUCCUUACGGUUACGCGGGGAAGAUAAGCAGAUACCUAGACCCAGUGAAGCAGAAGUUCAGCGGGAUGAAGUCUCACGACUGUCACGUGCUGAGUAAAAUCUGAGUAGAUUAGGCCAUAAAUUGGAUUACGAGCACAGUUUAGUCAAGAAAAUGCUUCGGGGCCAAUGUUCAUUCAAUUCUUCAGAUAAACAGGGCAUGUAUUCAAUUUUUUUCUCAUAAGGAGAGCAGAUUUUCAUCACUUGCACUUACACAGAGUUAAUGUAAAUGUUUUGCACAAUAACGUAGCAUGUAUCUUCAGUUUUUGCACUUAAAAAAGCCAAUCUUCAGUUUGUCCACUUCAAAAUAUUAUAAACUCUAAAAGAACAACAUGUUAGUACAAAACUUAUACAAGGAUCGUCACACAACCCUUAUGCGCAUCAUGGUGCUAAGUCUAGAUUAUCAUGAUUGUGCAUCUGCAAAAAUUUAUAACUGUGAGUGCAAUCUGUACCUAACAAGCAAGAUAGAUAAGAUUUCAAAUGCGCAAAUAAGAAAUUGCAACACAACUGCAGAUUUCAAGAAGUGCAAUUUCAUCAAAUUUAGUAUUAGAUAGUAGAUACUGACAGUCUGACAGUUAUAUACCAAUUUUCUUCUAAAAAAUACCUCAUGGUUUUGAUGAUUGUACUAACAAAGAAAAAGCAGGCAUUAUUAGAUAUGAAAUCUGGAAAUCUUUUCAGUUCUAUUUUUGUAAUGACAGGAAAUAUUGUGGUCACUUUUCUCAUCCCUUUUAACAUGAUGUAGUGUAACAGAACAUAUCUGCAGAUUCCACCAAUUCCAAUGGUUCUUUCCUUCCACUGUCCAAAUUUCAGUGAAACGUCUCCACCUUCGACACAACAGUGAUUCUCAAAAUUGACUACGCAGACCCCAAACAUGAUGCUCCUACUCUUUUCAUAGAGACAAGGACAUUAGCAACAAAGUAGUGGCUUUUCUCCGGGUGUUGGAGAAAGCAUAGAUGAUCCUUCCAUUUACAGUAGCAAGGACAAUUGUACAACAAGACGAUACCACUAGGGCAGGUUCCUUGAAUCCUCAACAUGACAGAAACAACCUUCUACUUUGAAGCCUCCUCUUUUGAUCAGAUUCAAAUCAUCACCCUUUCCAGCAGCAGCAGUAGUAACUAGCACUAGAAUCACAUUGUUCCGCACUUCUUCUUGUUGUGUUUGCUGCUGGGUAGAAGAAGCUUUGGUGGGCUGCUGCUUGUCUUGGUUCUCAUCGAAACAACCCAGCUGCGCAAAAUCCUCGAUCGACUUGACAUGAACCUGCAAAGGAAAGACAAUAUUAAUAAAUCACAACUCUACUAGAUUGUUAAGUUGGGUGGGAUGUAAAAGCAAAUCUUCUUCUAAGUGCAAUAUACUUAGUGCUGCUAUAUGAGUGUAUAAAUAUUUGUUGCUAUAUAAAUGUGAACAAAAUUCGUGCUUGUAUAUGAUAUUCCGCCAUGAAGAAAGAAUAGAUAGUGUGGGUCUGACCUUGUUUAAUUUCUGCAAUUCUUGUAUAUGAUAUUCUUUGGUGUGUAUUGCAUUCUCAUCGUGUUUUUGAUCACAGAACAAGAAGGGAAAGGGCGACUGAAGUACCUACUGCAGCAGACAGAAGUAUUUGCCCACUUUGCAGAAGGAAGCCAGGCUAAAGAGAAGAAGCCACGUGGAAGGUGAUUCUUGGUUAUGUUUUUUUAAAAGCAAUCCUUGGUUAUGUUAGUGCCACUAUAUAGUACUUUACUAUGAACACCCAUCUUGGAUGACCAAUAGAAAUUGCAGCCACAUGUGCACCGAUCUAAUUUGAAACAUCAAUGAAAAUUGAAAAAAAAUACUCUCAUAGCACUACUUCUAUUUGCAUUUCCCAAACAUAUGGUUCUGUCCAUCCUCAUUUCCUGUCUUCCCUAAUAACCAUCAUUAAGUUAUAGGUUUGCUGUGUGCCUGUGCUAUUCCCUGUCAGUAAUUGAUUUCAGAAACUGGCAAGCUUUGAUAAUAUAAGAGUUACUUACUUGCUAAUUAGCCAAGCAGGCAUGUAUUACUUACUUGCUAAGAACUUUGAUACUAUUUGGAUCAAAGUUAAAUGAGCACACUGAUGACAAAAAAAGUUCAGAUUGUAAAAUGUUCAUUUUGCUGCUAGUGCCCAUUUUGAGUAAUUGCUUAGAGGGAUGAUCCUGUGUGAGCUGGUGGAGUGAUUUGUUUUCUACAUAAAGCUCUUUAGUCAGGCUGGUUUUCGUGAAAUACACAUGAAGCUUCACCAGCUCCUGUGGGUGUGGGAUCCAUGUGACAUGUGACAUUGCAUCCAUGUCCACCUGGGAUAAUGAUUUUGCAGGUACCCCGAGAGGCCCUUGAGUUUGCCGGAAUGUCGAUUAACUUCCGUUCCGGCAAAUUCGGGUACUCCAUAUGUCCUAUUUUCAGUAAAGGUCAUGCUGAAAUUUUCCGUGAAUUUUAGCAUGACUUUGCUAAAAAUAGGACAUAUGGGGUACUUGUGACUAAUGCAUGGGCCGGGGUAUCUUAGUAGUUAAUUAAGUAGGAUCAAGUGCCCCGGCGUACUUGUGACUAAUGCAUGGCUUUUAGGGUGCCUCGGUGUCGAUAAAAACCGAAAUGAUGAAAGGUUAGGCUUUUAGGGUGCCUUGGCAUCGAAAAACCCUCAAUGAUAAAAGCUUAGAUUUUAGGAUGCCUCGGUGUCGACAAACCCUAAAUGAUGAGACCAUGAUCUUGUUCCUUGACAAUAACCAACUUUUUGACCAAACUUUGUUUCUAUUUAGAGAGAAACAUGGCCCACAACGAUGAGGCCGGGGGUUCGGGCGGCAAGGCAUUCUGGGAGCUGUCCCAGGAGAUGGAGGAACAACCUCACUUGUAUGAGGCCGCCGCCUUCCCCACCGAUCCUGAGACCACGGAUGGUGCCGCCGAGGAUGACCACACUGAUGCCACCACUGAUGGUGCCGCCGAGGAUGCCACCACUGAUGAUGGCGGUGCACGCACAGAUGGCAGCCAACCGAAGAGGCAACGGAAGGACCGGCGCCCGAUCGUGCUCCGCACCCUCAAGGAGGAAGUUACUGAAGUGGACUCCAACGGGAAUCCAACGGCGGCCAAACGAAUAGUCAAGGGGUACUCGCUUCAGCUCGGGUGCAUUGUCCGGAGCACCGUCUCGAUCAACACCGAGAACCUGAGGCAUCCUGACCGAGGGAAUUUGCGCAACCUCCUCUUCACGAAGCUGCACGAACGAUACAAGUUCCCUGCUGAAUUUGAAAACACAAGCCUCAAAGGGAAUAAAGUGAACAAUGCUGCCCUCACGAAGAUGAGCAAGGCCCUAUCUACUUGGAAAAGCAAUGUGAAGAGAAUGAUCGAGAAAUGUGAGAGUUAUCAGAAGAUCAAGGAGAAAAAUCCUUCGAUCAUCGAAGAUGACUACAACGACUUCAAGAUCAAUUGCUCGAGCACCGCAAGCUCCCAAUCAAGUGAGUGGGGGAAACAAAUGCGGGAGCUGAACAUAGGGGAACACACACUCGGUCCCGGCGGUUACAGAGUGGCGGAGCCUAUAUGGGACAAGGAGGACGCGGACCGUGCCGAGCAAGGCCUACCGCCCCGCUUCGAGAAAUACAAUGGUAACAAGCAGACUAGGAACUAUGUCAGGGCCCGGUACAAGGAGGACCCGAUAACAAAGGAGCUUACCACGGAUCCGAAGACCAGGGCGCUUGAGCUUGUUCUGGUAAGGAAUACACCCCCGCGUAAUUAGCUCCAUAUGGUUGCAUUCUAAUUAAUGAAGCCAAAUUUCUAAAUGGUUCACAUUCCUUCCGCAGGCGACUGAAAGCAGUAGCGCGGAGUCGACUAAGAGCAACCCUUGGGACACCACUCUAAAUAGGGGGUUGAAUGUAAUGAAGAACAAGGAUAAGCUCAGUAAGCCGACGUCAGCUGGUCGUGUGGCCGGCAAAGGCUUGUCGACAAAAUGGGGGUCAUACUAUAUCGCUGGUGUGCGGAAGGAGAAAAAGACCAGCUCGGAAAGCCAGGCGCGAGAGGUUCAAGAACUCAAGGCACAGGUGGCGCGGAUUCCGGAGAUUGUCCAAGAGCAAGUGGAACAACGACUCGGAGCGACGAUCACCGCCCUUGUGCCUACCUUGAUCUCGGGGUUGAGUGCGUGGAUUGCGGGCGGCCAACAGGGGCCACCCCUGAUUCCUAGCUUCACGGCCAGCAACUCGCAUAAUGCGAUGGCGGGGCCAUUGGUGCCUCCGGCGGAGGCGGCAUUGGUGUCUCCGACGCCGGUACGGGAGCUUAAUGCACCCGGGUGUACGCCGACCGGCACCUCUUCAGCAAGCGGCCCCUCCGUCAACUGCACGCCCGCCGUUGGCGGUGCCUCGACAUUAGCCGAGCUCGUCGCCAUCAUCACGGUAACUAAUUAAGCCUCUCUCGGCCGAGGACUUCAUCUCCUUGCCUUUGACUGGGCAUCCCUGACGCUCUACGUGUUUUCGCAGGGCGCCGCCGACGUUCCGUGCACUCUCCUUGACUUCGUGAACAACGAGUUGGUCGAUGUCGCCAAGGGCAAAAUUGUUCAACCGGGCAACCCCUUGUUCCACGGUACCCAGAUGCCACCCAACUUGUUUAGGGUUCAACUGGUUCGGGUGCUGCCAGGCUGCGACGACUUGUUACCUCCGAUUCGACCCGUCGGGGCCGAUGAUGAAGACGUGAUGACCCUCAGCGCCUGCCUGAGCUGGCCCCUGCUUUGGCCGAAGAGCCAGAUUCGUUUGGGGGCGGGGGACACCACCCCAAAGACAACACCGCCAGUCGUGCUGGCGCCAAGUCGGCCCCAUGGCAAGACCGCCGUAACGGUGCCGGACAUCCCUAUGCCACUGGAUCCAAACAUGCAUAUGGCACAGGAUCAGAACGACGACGACGACGACGACGAUGAUACAUUUGGCAAUGUCGAUCAGUACUUUGCCGAGCAUGGGUACGAUGGCGACUUCAUGGGGCCUCCUUCUCAAGAACCAAACCCAACAAAAGACGUGUGCGAUCUAGCUCGUACCGCGGAGAAGCCAAGUUGCAACAGCCGCCGUCUGGCGUUCAGCUCUCAGGAGACGCCUCCAGCUGCCGACUUCACCGAGCCUCAGAUAGGCGAGGUGCGAAAUAUUAUCAGCCCCAACACACUCAAGAAGGCGGUCUGUGAGCAGAACUCGGUCCCAUUACAGGAGAAGAAGAAGGCACGCAAAAGAAAGACUAAGAAGGGUGCGAGCCAGCCGGCACCGAGUACGAUCCGUGCUCAGGACGGGCCACCUUCACCGUAGGAUAUCUCGAGGAGGGUGCAUGUGGCGGGUAGGGCGAUGCUACCGACAAAUAUGCUCAAUGCUGCAACCGGUGCUAUGCGGAGUCUGCAUGACAGUGUUCUUGCUUUGGAGAAGCGGCGUCUCAGAGAGAAGGAUGUGGCAUACCUGGUUUUCGCGGCCAAGGUGCCAGAGGGCAAGGGCUUUGUGGAUAACUCCAUCGGGCGUACGAUCGUCCUCCGUUUUGAUGACAUCCACGCUAUGUUGAACCUUCAUCCGCUGCACUACACCUUCGUUCGGCUAUUUUCGCUGAGUAUGGAGAUGCGGAUCAUUCGCGACAAGACCCCGGACAUCGUGAUAGUCGACCCCUUCUACAUGCGUGCCAAGAUCUUGGGCAGCGCUCGGGACCGGCAAGUCGCGAGUUCUUACCUCGAAGGCGUCAUUCUGGCAAACCAAGAUAAGGAUAACUUCCUCGUGCCUUACUUUCCCGAGUAAGUCCUCCCCUCAACCGGCCCAUAACAUAUGAAUUCUUACAUUUCGAUCGUUUUUCUUUUAACAUUCCGUGUUUUCUGAAGUGACACACGUUGCACGCUCAUCCUCCUAAGCCCCAAAUAUUCCAUGGCAACGUAUUUUGACCCGGACCGUCAGUCGAACGUAGACUACACAAAUGUCAAGAAGGUUCUUGAUGAUGUUCUCCCCGGCUACGCCCAAUCUGGAGGCACCUUCACCAGGCCUAUUCGUAAGUACGGCAAGCACGUGUUCUCCCACAAUACGACGUUCUGCUGCGUCAAGCAGCCGCCUGGCGGUCAGAAGGGUGCCUACUACGCCAUCCAUCACAUGUGGGCGAUCAUAUGGGACCAUCAUCAACUUCUGCUACCGAGUAAACUCAAAGAUUGGGCCGCGAGCGUGUCGGCAAUCCAGGACGCGGACCUCCGACAAGAAUUCUUUCGCAUCCAGUCGGAGUUUGCGGAAAUCAUCCAUCAAGAUGUCCUUCGUACCUCGGGGCAGUUCUACCUCAGAAAUCAACCGUCCAACAGUGACAUCGACACAAUGCUACAAAUGCAGGAUGACAACGCCCGUUCUUUCAUGACUCCCACGAUAGACGGCGGCUUCAUCCACGCUCCGGUCCCUUGAGUCGAGUUGUCUAGUUCUGAAACAUCGAUUGGCUCAUGUUGUAAUUAAACUUUAAUGAACUUGUAGUAUGUCUCUUUGGUUUCGAGAGUCGUUCAACUUAGAUGUAAUCGAUGCUAUUAAUGUCUUGCUUUUCUCUUCCGAUCGUUCUGUUGCAUACUUAUAUAUUGCUUAUGUGUUGUCUGUGAAUUGGUACUAACGUUUCGUUUGGCUAGUGCAUAGCGAUGCCGACGUAUGUCGUGUACAAGGGUAAGGUUCCCGGAGUCUACGAUGAUUGGGAGGAGUGUCGGAGACAGGUUCACCGAUUCAGCAGUAACAGUUACAAAGGGUACACCACUAGGGCCGAGGCCGAAUCUAGAUACACCCGCUAUCUAGCGGGAGAGGGGAGGGAGCGUUGGAGGAACCGGAUGAAGACGAGUUUCAUCGUGAUGAUGCUCAUCGUGAUGACCGCAGCUCUCUUCUAUGUGAUGGUAGUUUAGAUGAUCGAUAUCGACUUGUAAUGUGAAGACAGACUCGCUACUCGCGGUCUCGAGACUUGUAAUAUAAUGUUCUAUCUUUGUUCGGUCUUUUCAAUUCGGAGACUAAUAUGAUGAAUUGUAUUCGGAGACUAAUAUGAUGAAUUGUAUUCAAAGACUAAUCUUCUAUUGUAUUUGAUGAAUCUGUUGUUGAUGUGUGCUGUCUAUAUUUUGUCAAACUAUACAUUUUGUAACCUGUGCAAAAAACAGAAAAUAAAAAAAUAAAAAAACCAAAUAUUCAUACUAAUGGCGCAUCACAUGACAGUGCGCCAUUAGUAUGAUAGUGCAUACUAAUGGCGCAUCACUGGGCAGUGCACCAUUAGUAUGCCGCGGUUACUAAUGGCGCAUCAAGAGGUGGUGCGCCAUUAGUAUGCCAAAGCACCUGGGUAUACAUGGCCCCUGGGAGGCAUACUAAUGGCGCACCCUGGCCUAUACUAAUGGCGCACCCGAGGUGCGCCAUUAGUAUACCAGAUACUAAUGGCGCACCAGGUGGUGCGCCAUUAGUAAAAAUUACUAAUGGCGUGCUAUUAAUGGCGCACCACAGAUGCGCCACUAAUAGCCUUACUAGGUGCGCCAUUAGUAGGGGUUUUUCUAGUAGUGUUCAGCGAGCACUCGACGAACGCGCGCGGCAACGAGUUCUCGACGCCUGUCGACGUCAACUCUUCCCGCCGACUCAGGUAUAUCGAACCCCAAUCCAGAAUUUAGCAGCUGCGACCCGUAUAGCAGAGUCCAUCCAGCCCUCUCAGUCGGCAGCUGGUAGAGGCUUGAUGCAGAUCAGGGAUCUGCUCCGGGCAGCAGGAGAUCAGAAUUCAGCUGUGUCGCAGUCGCGCAACAGAAUUCACAGUCGAUCCGUCGCUGCGAAUACGGUUCAGUCGGCUCAUAGUCCCAGAUCGCCUCCGCGGCGUGAAGGACGCGAGAAUCGGCGAGACCAAUAUGGAGACCGACACGACCGAGAUGAUAGGCGUCGAGUGCCCACUUCCCCUCCGAGGGGUGGGUCCUACGCUCCUCGUCAGCAAGAUGACAGACGUCAGCUCAGUGCAGGGCGAAGAGUUCCAGUCGACCCCAGAGAACCAGGCUUCGACGCGCGAUCCAUUAUCGUGCAAGGUUUGGUCGACCAGAACAGAGCCCAUCGAGGUGGACCUGACAGAGAUGCGCCCACGAGUAGUCGAGUGCAUGUUUCUGGUCCGGAAUGUUUCAGCAGAGCUAUCAGAGCCGCAGUGAUCCCUCCCAAUUUCAGGUUGGCAACAGGAGUCAGCAAGUUCACUGGUGAGUCUAAGCCUGAAACUUGGCUUGAGGACUACCGAGUGGCGGUUCAGAUUGGUGGUGGGAAUGACGAGGUGGCCAUGAAACAUUUGCCCCUCAUGUUGGAAGGUUCUGCCAGAGCAUGGUUGACUCAGUUACCUCCUAGCAGCAUUUACACUUGGGAAGAUCUGUCCCGAGUGUUCGUCAGAACGUUUGAAGGAACUUGCAAGCGACCGGCUGGAUUGACGGAGCUGCAAGUCUGCGUGCAGAAGACCAAUGAGACUCUCAGGGAGUAUAUUCAGAGGUGGAUCACUUUGCACCAUACUGUGGAGAAUGUGUCUGAUCAUCAGGCAGUCUGCGCCUUCAAGGAUGGUGUCAAGAACAGAGAAUUGAGUUUGAAAUUUGGUCGAACCGGUGACAUAACCUUGAGUCGGAUGAUGGAAAUUGCUACCAAGUACGCCAACGGCGAAGAAGAAGACCGACUCCAAAGUGGCAAGCACAAGCCGAGUCAGUCGGAGAAGGGAAACACCAGUCGGAAACAGAAGCGGAAGGCUGAACCGGCAGCUCCUGGAGAGGCUCUGGCCGUGACUCAGGGAAAGUUUAAAGGGAAACCAAAAGGAUCCUGGAACCCUAAGAAGGUAAAGGAUAAAGAAGGGAAUGACGUGAUGGAUAUGCCGUGUCACAUCCACACGAAGAAAGACGAAGAGGGGAAUAUCAUUUACCCAAAGCAUACCACUCGCCAAUGUCGACUCCUGAUCCAGCAGUUUCAAGGAAAACAGUCUAAAGACAAGGAAAAGGAGUCGGACAAGGCCGAAGACAAGGAGGACAGUGAGGAAGGAUAUCCGCAUAUCAACUCCACUCUGAUGAUCUUUGCAGAUGCGGAAAGCAAGAGUCGAUUGAAAGUCAUUAACCAUGAGGUGAACAUGGUUACCCCAGCAAAAGCAAAUUAUUUGAAAUGGUCCCAAACACCCAUCACAUUCGACCAAUCUGAUCACCCGACUCAUAUUGCCACCCCUGGGAGGCAAGCUUUGGUGGUUGAUCCCGUUGUCGAAGGCACUCGAUUGACAAAAGUGCUGAUGGACGGUGGUAGUGGGCUGAAUUUGUUGUAUGCAGACACACUGAAAGGAAUGGGCAUUCCGAUGUCCCAACUGAGCACCAGUAACAUGAGUUUUCACGGAGUUAUACCAGGGAAGAAAGCCGAGUCACUCGGCCAAAUAGCUCUGGACGUGGUGUUUGGUGAUUCGAAACAUUUUCGCAAAGAGAAGUUGACGUUUGAGGUCGUGGAUUUUCAGAGUGCAUAUCACGCCAUUUUGGGGAGACCAGCUUAUGCGCGGUUCAUGGCUCGACCAUGUUACGUGUACCUCAAAUUGAAGAUGCCCGGCCCCAAAGGAGUGAUCACUGUCAUCGGUGAUCGGAAAAAGGCAGAAGAGUGCUUUCAGAAGGGCUCAAAGAUUGCUGAUUCCCAGGUGACAGCGGUCGAGUUUGAAGAAUACAAGCAAAAUGCAGAUCCGAGUGAUUUGCUGCGAUCCAAGAAACCUGCCACAGAAUCUGCAUUUCAGUCGUCGGGUGAGACGAAGUCUGUUCACAUUCACCCGACCGACCCCGAUGCAGCCCCGACCCACAUCUCCACAACACUCGACCCGAAAUAGGAAGAAGCGCUCAUCCAGUUCCUCCGUGAGAACUGGGACAUUUUUGCAUGGAAGCCCGCUGACAUGCCAGGUGUUCCCAGGGGACUGGCUGAGCAUCGCCUAAGAGUCGACUCAUCAGCUAAACCAGUCAAAGAGCAUCUUCGGCGGUCCGCCGUCCAGAAGAGGAAAGCCAUUGGUGAGGAAGUGGCUCGACUGUUGGCGGCAGGAUUUAUCCGAGAGAUAUACCACUCCGAGUGGCUCGCUAAUGUCGUCAUGGUCCCUAAGAAGGACAAAUCACUCCGAAUGUGCAUUGAUUUCAAGCACAUCAAUCGGGCCUGCCCGAAAGAUCAUUUUCCUCUCCCUCGCAUAGAUCAAGUUGUUGACUCGACUGCGGGAUGCGAGAGAUUGUCUUUUCUAGACGCCUACUCCGGGUACCACCAGAUCCGUCUGUACGGACCCGACAAGGUAAAAACAGCUUUCAUCACUCCAUUCGGGUGCUUCUGCUAUAUCACCAUGCCAUUCGGCCUCAAGAAUGCCGGAGCCACAUUUAUGUGAAUGAUUCAGAAGUGUCUACUCACUCAAAUCAGUCGGAAUGUGGAAGCGUAUAUGGAUGAUAUCGUCGUCAAGUCACGAAAAGGUUCCGACCUGCUCGCUGACCUUGCCGAAACAUUUGCCAACCUCAGAAGGUAUGAUAUCAAGCUCAAUCCAUCAAAAUGCACAUUCGGAGUUCCUGGUGGCAAGUUACUCGGUUUUCUCGUUUCCGAGCGAGGGAUCGACGCUAAUCCAGAAAAGAUCGGCACUAUUCUCCGAAUGAAACGCCCUGUGCGAGUUCACGAUGUCCAGAAGCUUACUGGAUGCUUGGCCGCAUUAAGUCGAUUCAUCUCACGACUCGGUGAAAAGGUAUUGCCUCUUUACCAACUGAUGAAGAAGGCAGACAAGUUCGAGUGGACUCCAGAAGCUGAUGCAGCGUUUGCCGAGCUAAAAGCUCUGCUCUCCACCCAGCCGGUGCUUGCUGCCCCAAUCAGCAAAGAGCCUCUGUUGCUUUAUAUUGCAGCCACAGGACAAGUUGUCAGUACAGUGCUUACGGUCGAGCGGGAAGAAGAAGGAAAAGCUUUCAAAGUUCAGCGUCCAGUGUAUUAUUUCUCUGAAGUCUUGACUCCAUCCAAGCAGAGAUAUCCUCAUUAUCAGAAGCUUGUGUAUGGAAUAUACAUGACCACAAAGAAGGUUGCUCAUUAUUUCUCUGAUCAUUCCAUCACAGUCGUCAGCGACGCUCCACUAUCAGAGAUUUUGCACAACAGAGAUGCAACUGGUCGAGUGGCGAAAUGGGCGAUUGAACUUCUUCCCCUUGAUAUCAAGUUUGAGGCAAAGAAAGCCAUUAAGUCCCAGGCAAUAGCAGAUUUCCUCGCCGAGUGGAUUGAACAGCAGCAGCCGACUGAAGUUCACUCGGAGCAUUGGACCAUGUUUUUUGAUGGCUCUAAGAUGUUGAAUGGUUCCGGUGCUGGGGUUGUCCUGGUUUCCCCCAGAGGAGAUAAGCUCAGAUACGUGCUCCAGAUUCACUUUGAUUCCUCCAACAAUGAGGCAGAGUAUGAGUCCCUCUUAUACGGAUUGCGCAUGGCCAUUUCACUCGGCGUCCGUCGCCUGAUGGUCUAUGGCGAUUCAGAUUUAGUGGUCAACCAAGUGAUGAAGGAGUGGGACGUGAGAAGCCCAGCCAUGACUGGAUACUGCAGUGCAGUGAGGAAGCUGGAAAAGAAGUUCGAGGGGUUGGAGCUCCAUCAUAUACCCCGACUGAAAAAUCAAGCAGCUGAUGAUCUAGCAAAGAUAGGUUCCAAGAGAGGAGCCAUUCCGAGUGGUGUGUUCUUGGAGCAUAUACACACUCCGUCAGUCAAAGAAGAUCCUUUCACCGAAGAAGCUCCACAGCCCAAGAGUGCCAAAGAUCCGACUGAGGUUGAAGUCCCAGCAGUAGUCGACUUGGUCAUGGAGGUCUUGGUGGUCAUUCCCGACUGGACAGUUCCGUAUAUCGCGUAUAUCCUGAGAAAAGAGCUCCCGGAGGAUGAGGAAGAGGCUCGACAGAUCGUCCGUCGAUCUAAAGCCUUUACCGUAAUCAAAGGACAGCUGUAUAGGGAAAGCGCGACUGGAGUUGGUCAGAAGUGCAUAACACCAGAAGAAGGUCGAAUCAUCCUUAACGAUAUCCACUCGGGAACCUGUGGUCAUCAUGCGUCCUCUCGGACCAUCGUGGCCAAAGCAUACCGAGCCGGAUUUUACUGGCCAAAGGCGAAUGAGAUGGCAAAGGAAAUAGUGGAUAAGUGCGAGGGAUGUCAGUUCUACUCUAAUAUGUCGCACAAGCCUGCAUCAGCUCUGAAGACCAUUCCACUCGUCUGGCCUUUCGCAGUAUGGGGGUUGGACAUGGUCGGUCCUUUGAGAACAGGGCGAAGUGGCUUCACGCAUGUACUGGUGGCAAUCGACAAGUUCACCAAGUGGAUUGAGGCUAAACCAAUCAAGAACCUUGACGCCGGUGCUGCUGUUAGCUUCAUCAGGGAACUGAUAUUCAGAUAUGGAGUCCCGCACAGCAUCAUUACAGAUAAUGGGUCGAACUUUGACUCGGAAGAAUUCAGGGAUUUCUGCAACUCUCAAGGCACACGAGUCGACUACGCUUCAGUCACCCAUCCGCAGUCGAAUGGACAAGCAGAGCGAGCCAAUGGUCUGAUUCUCAAGGGACUGAAACCCCGACUGAUGCGUGAUCUCAAGCAUGCGGCUGGAGCGUGGGUCGACGAACUUCCCUCGGUGCUUUGGGGACUGCGGACCACACCUAAUCGAUCGACCGGAAGAACUCCAUUCUUCUUGGUCUACGGAGCUGAAGCAGUCUUGCCGAGUGAUCUUCUCCACAAUGCUCCUCGAGUUGAAAUCUACAAUGAAGCAGAAGCUGAACAAGCGCGGCAGGACGCAGUCGACCUUUUAGAGGAAGAAAGGGAGAUGGCUCUGAUCCGGUCGACCAUCUACCAACAAGAUUUGCGUUGUUUCCAUGCCAGAAAUGUGAGGGGUCGAGCCUUCCAGGAAGGAGAUUUAGUUCUCCGAGUGGAUCAGAAGAAACAACACAAGCUUGCUCCUUCUUGGGAAGGACCCUUCAUCGUCACCAAAGUUCUCCACAAUGGGGCGUACCGUCUUUACAACGUCGAACAUAAUAUCGACGAGCCCCGAGCUUGGAACGCGGAACUACUCCGCCCAUUUUACACUUAAGUUUAUCACUCGGAUGAGUUGCAAUAAAGUACUUCUGUAGUUCAUGGAUCUCAAAAUAAUAGUGUCAUAGUUCCUCCAUAAUUUUUGUCACUUUUUAUUUUGUCCAAUAAAAUUUUCCCCUUAGUGGGUGACUUAGCCGCGAAUCCGUUUUGCCUAAGUUUGUAAAAAUCCUACCGAGUGGUGAGCCAGACUCCCACUCGGAGGCUUAGCUGCGAAUCCGUUUCGCCUAAGAUUAAAUAAAAUCCUACCGAGUGGUGAGCCAGACUCCCACUCGGAGGCUUAGCUGCGAAUCCGUUUCGCCUAAGAUUAAAUAAAAUCCUACCGAGUGGUGAGCCAGACUCCCCCUCGGAGGCUUAGCUGCGAAUCUGUUUCGCCUAAGAUUAAAUAAAAUCCUACCGAGUGGUAUGCCAGACUUCCACUCGGGGGCUUAGCUGCAGUCCAAGGACUCUCCUAAGUUACCAAAAUCCUACCGAGUGGUAAGCCAGACUUCCACUCGGGGGCUUAGCUGCAGUCCAAGUACUCGCCUAAGUUAUAAAAAUCCUACCGAGUGGUAAGCCAGACUUCCACUCGGAGGCUUAGUUGCAGUCCAAGUACUCGCCUAAGUUAUCAAAAUCCUACCGAGUGAAGAGCAAACCUCUCACUCGGGGGCUUAGCUGCAGCCCAGUGCUCGCCUAAGUUAUCAAAAUCCUACCGAGUGAAGAGCAAACCUCUCACUCGGGGGCUUAGCUGCAGCCCAGUGCUCGCCUAAGAUAUAAAAAAUUCUNNNNNNNNNNNNNNNNNNNNNNNNNNNNNNNNNNNNNNNNNNNNNNNNNNNNNNNNNNNNNNNNNNNNNNNNNNNNNNNNNNNNNNNNNNNNNNNNNNNNNNNNNNNNNNNNNNNNNNNNNNNNNNNNNNNNNNNNNNNNNNNNNNNNNNNNNNNNNNNNNNNNNNNNNNNNNNNNNNNNNNNNNNNNNNNNNNNNNNNAAAAAAUCCUACCGAGUGAAGAGCAAACCUCUCACUCGGGGGCUUAGCUGCAGCCCAGUGCUCGCCUAAGUUAUCAAAAUCCUACCGAGUGAAGAGCAAGCCUCUCACUCGGGGGCUUAGCUGCAGCCCAGUGCUCGCCUAAGUUAUCAAAAUCCUACUGAGUAAAGAGCAAACCUCUCACUCGGGGGCUUAGCUGCAGCCCAGUGCUCGCCUAAGUUAUAGAAAUCCUACCGAGUGAAGAGCAAACCUCUCACUCGGGAGGCUUAGCUGCAGCCCAGCGCUCGCCUAAGUGGAUUAAGGAAUAAGUCGACUGCAGUGAGCGUCUUGCUUUGAACCUGCAAAAGACAUUUCGAGCCGAAAGCAAUUAUAUUCAAACACCAAAUUCGAGUUCAGAUCGAUACCUAAAGGAACCGAAAGUGCUCAGGCACUAAGCCUGUUAAGGUUUAUCGGUUGCAACUCCACUUGGCAUGCCGAGGCAAAUUUAAAGCGUCGAGCUUAGAAGAAGUUUUUUACCCCUCCUGUGGAGGGCUGGAAGGUGCAACAAACUCAUCAAGAUCAAUUCCAUCUGCGAUCCGAGUGGCAGCAGCAAGGAAAGUUUCCAUAAAGGACCUGAAGUCGUGUUUCUUGGUGUUGGCCACCCAGAGGGCCGCCAGCUUGUCUUCUCGCACAUCUUUGCAGUGGACUCGGGCCAGACACAGAGCAACAUCCGCACCGCACCGAGCUGAGGACUUUUUCCACUCCUGCACUCGACCCGGGACCGUGUUCAAGCGAGCCACCAGCGACUCGAGAUCGUUCUGGAGUGUCUCCCUGGGCCAGAGCGUUGAGUCGAUGCGAGAUGUGGCGACCUUCAGCCUUGCAAGAUAGUCCAUGACAGCUGCAACACGGGACUCCAGUCGGAAAACAUCCAUGGCAACUUCGUCGUUCACCGGAGAAUUGACAGGGUCAAGGUUUGGUUCCAGCCGGCUAGUCUCUUCUUCAAAGUCUUGACAAAAUUCUGCAAGGGCGAUCACCGAGUCAAGGCAAUGGUCGAAUGGAAAAAUCACAGUUGAAAAUGAUUGUUGAGCAUAAAGGUUUACCUUCAAGCAUAAGGAACAACUUCUUGGCAAGACCACUCAGGAAGGCCUCCAGAUCAUUUUUCUUCCCAAGAGCAGCUUUCAGAUUGGUAUUUUCUUGUUCAAGCUUGGUAACUGAAGCUAACUUCUCAUCGGCAAGCUUGAUCCUCUUAGCUAGUUCAAGGUCUUUUUUCCUUUGGGCCUCCCUCACCUUACCUGCAAGUUACAGCAAGAUCAGAUUUUGAAACAAAUGAAGGGAAAAAGCAGUCGUCGAGGUCUCACCAAACAUACCUUCGGUCUCCUCCUUUGCCUUCGUCAGAUUCUCCUGAACCAGCUUCAAAUUCAGCUCGAGCUGAAUGUGCUUAUUUUCCAGUUCAGUGUAGCGAGCCGCAAGGUCACAGGAGUUCUGCGAAGAACCAAUCGACUAAAUGUCAAAGAUAAUUCACUUCCGAGUGGAAAAGGAAAAAUCACGUGUUUCUAAGACUACAGCCGAAUUCAAGCAUUCGACUGUAGUCUCGGGGACUACACCCAGUGGGUGCACUCAGCGUGCCCCCACUAAUCCUAUUGAAGACAGAGUCGACCAGUCGACCGGUUUGUGAAAUCCAGUCGCCAUAGUCGAAUGACGGAGAGACUGAACUUAUAAAGCCUAAGGCCAACUGCCAGCAGUCGACCUUAGCCUUGGAGACAGAGUCGACCAGUCGACCUAAAAAAAACAAAACAAGAUGUAUUCUUUAAGACUGUAACCGACUGCAAGCAGUCGACCAGAGUCUCGGGGACUACACCCAGUGGGUGCACUCAGCGUGCCCCCACCGGUUUGCGAAAUCAAUUCGCCAUAGUCGAAUGACGGAGAGACUGAACUUAUAAAGCCUAAGGCCGACUGCCAGUAGUCGACCUUAGCCUUGGGGACUACACCCAGCGGGUGCACUCAGCGUGCCCCCGCUAACACGGAGUUUAAAUCGACACACCCAGUGGGUGAUUACUAUAAAUUCUGAAAGAAAAGUUUUUGAUAGCGUAUCCUAACAGAACAAGUGGUGGUCGACUGACCUGAACAUUCCUUUGAAGGGGGGAACAGGCGUCAUAAGCUGCCUGGCUCGCAUCCCGGAUGGUCUUCAACUGCUCCAUCAUGAUCCCUGCCUGGCGUAUCGCCUCCUUCGCGGCGCCAGCUUGGUCCUCUGGGACGUGGUGCGUCGUGAAGAGGGAGGGCUGCGGAGCACUCGUCAGCGGAUCUGCGAAGGACACAGUGUGUCGAGUGGUGUUCUCUUCCUCCGCGACCAGACUCUCAGGCACCGUCACAUCCUGGAACACCCUGCCGGCAGACGCUUUCCUACUCCUUCUGUGCUUCAGCGGUUCCUCAUCUUCAUCAUCAUCAGGGAGAGUGAUAACAACAUUGGAUGGAGCUACAGAAAAAAAUCAGAGUCAGAGAUCAUGAGUCAGUCGACUAGAAACGGUGUUAAGAGUAUAGUACCAGGUUUUGAGGUUGCUGCGUCCUCCAUCUCAUGGUCGUCAGCCCGGGCUGAGGUCUCAGAAGUAGCAGCACUGCAACUCCAAGGAAUUGGUCGACUAACUCCAGCGCCAACCAGAGAUAAAGUUCACACAAAACAAGAAGACUUAAGCAACAUGAUUACCCUGAUAUGGUGGGGAUGGACACCUUCAUCUUCGGCAGGUGCUUGGUCGGCUUUGACGGGGCCGCCCUGGGCUGCUUCGACGCCUUUUCAGUCGGCGCCGGAGAGGUGGUCCGAGGGCGCUUGGUCGACUGGGUAACAGUCGCAACCCCCUCGCCACGUUCAGUCGCAGGGUCAUGGACAAGUUUCGACCGCCUUUCCGAGCAUGGUGGUGCGACCUCCUCCUCCUCCUCCUCUUCCUCGUCCUCAUCGUCAUCAUCAUCAUCGUCAUCAUCAUCAUCAUCAGCCUCAGCGGCGUCCGAGUCCCACUCCUCCUCCUGGCUCUCGCCCCCGCUCGCUUCUCCCUCCUCGGUCGGAGCCUGUGCUCCAUUGGGCAUCGAGUACAGCUCAGUGAGAGCCUGAUAGACAUCAAGACAAAGAUCAGUCGACUGAUCGGCAGAGAAAACAGAAAUAAAUGUGACGAGAAUACAAUGGGAAGUGGAGCAGACAUACCUUGUUUGGAUCACUAUGGCAGUCGAGUGGAGGAAUCCUUCUGGCUCAGCGAGGGUUAUCCUUGUUCCCAGUAACAACGGCCAUCCACCUUUCCAGAGUGGCAUCGUCAACUGUUUCUGGAUUGACCUGAGUCACAUCCUCAGUCCCGCAGUACAACCACAUGCAAUGGCUCCGGAACUGAAGAGGCUGGAUACGACGCCUAAGAAAAACCUCCAGGAGAUCCAUACCCGUCACUCCAUCCCGAACCAACUGAACUACACGCUCCAUCAGCAUCUUCACGUCAGCUUUCUCCGCCGGAAUCACCUUCAGAGAGGAGGGCUUGUUCACUCGGCCCAUGGUGAACUGAGGGAGUCCACUCGACUGCCCCGGCAUCGACUGAUCCUGGCAGUAGAACCAGGUCGACUGCCAGCCUCUGACUGACUCGGGAAAUGUCAUGCCUGGGAAGGUGCUCUUGUUCCUCACCUGGAUCCCCAGACCCCCACACAUUUGGACAACUCGGGUUUUUUCAUCGCCUGGGCUCGCCUUCUUCACGGACUGAGAGCGACACGUGAAUAUGUGCUUGAACAAACCCCAAUGCGGUCGACAACCCAGAAAACUCUCACACAUGGACACAAACGCGGCAAGAUAGGCGAUAGAAUUCGGGGUGAAGUGGUGGAGUUGCGCUCCAAAGAAGUUCAAGAAACCACGGAAGAAAAUGCUCGGCGGCAAAGAGAAUCCGUGGUCGACAUGGGUAGCCAGAAGCACGCACUCACCCUCUUCCGGCUGGGGCUGCCACUCUUUCCCCGGAAGCCUCGCAGCUCCAUGAGGGAUCAGGCCCUCGUUGGCCAUGUCGAGGAGAUCCUUCUCCGUGAUGGUCGACUGGAUCCAAUCUCCCUGGACCCAGCCUUUCGGCAGGCGAGAUCUAGACGAAGACCCGCCGCGGCUGGUGGAUCUCCCCUUCGCCUUCUCCGUCACCGACGCCUUCUUCGUGCGUUCCAGCGCCGCCAUCUUCUCCUUGACCAUGGCUACCGGCGAGGCGCGUGAGGAGAAGUUGUGCGGAGGCGAGAGCGAGCGCGUUGGGCGGAGACGAAGGGAGCAGAGAAAGAAUGCUGAGGCACUGUUCAAAAAACCCUCGCCGGGCGCAUUUAUAAGAUCCCUUCCGAGUGGAUGACAGGUGGGCCCGGUCGAUCUAAUCAUAUCCUGAAACAGUUGCACGAGCGUGAUACGUGGCGAAAAAAGCGGCGCGGGGAUCGAGGCGUCUAUGCCCCGUCCCAUCCGAGCGCCACGGACCGCUCCGCUUCGCGCGCUCCCCCAAAUUCCGUAUCCCGCGGAAUCCGCGAACGGCAGAUCAGUCUGCCAGACGCGGGAUUUCCUGCGAUCCGUCGCUCGGAAAUCAGCGAAGUCCAAAAGAUCACUCGACGAAGAAAAAGAAUGGAUCGAGUUGACUGAAGAAAAGUUGUUCACUAUCAACAAAGAGAAUUUUUUGGUUCAAAACAACGCACGACCAGUAUGCGAAAGCUAAUCGGAAACAACAUCAACUCCUUCAUCACUCAAGCCUCAAUCCAUUCGGGGGCUAAUGAUGGGGUCAUGUACCUAGGGUAGGGUCACAGACCUGAUCUAAGUACCCUGCCCAAGGACACCCGUAGAAGAGAUCACCUUCCAGUCGACCUACGAGGGACUCACUCGACUGACUUGAAGGACUCGACCACGAAGACUCACUCGAGCACCAGAAGGUCAAGAGGCACUCGGCACUGCAACGGUCUGUAAUUAAGUAGACUUUAUGAUAGUAAAGACACUUUAUGUGGGGCAUUACCAGUAACGCCCCAGACUUAAUGUAUCUUAAAUCCUUCAUUACGUGGGCUGGCUGGGGUCCUGGCGCACUCUAUAUAAGCCACCCCCCUCCACAGGUAGAAGGGUUCGGCACCCUGUAACUCAUAUACACGUAAUCCACUCGACCGCCUCCGGGCUCCGAGACGUAGGGCUUUUACUUCCUCCGAGAAGGGCCUGAACUCGUACAUCUCUUGUGUUUACAACCUCUCCAUAGCUAGGACCUUGCCUCUCCAUACCUACCCCCCACUCUACUGUCAGGCUUAGAACCACGACAGUAGGCACCUCCGAUGUAGUAGGAGUCGUCGUCGACGGUGGCGUCUGGCUCCUGGACUCCAGCAUCUGGUUGUGACAACCAGAAAGAAAGUAAAGGGGGGAAAGGGGGGGAGAAAGCAACCGUGAGUACUCAUCCAAAGUACUCGCAAGCAAGGAACUACAUUACAUAUGCAUGGGUAUAUGUGUAAGGAGGUCAUAUCAGUGGACUGAACUGCAGAAUGCCAGAAUAAGAGGGGGAUAGCUAGUCCUAUCGAAGACUACGCUUCUGGCAGCCUCCAUCUUGCAGCAUGUAGAAGAGAGUAGAUUGAAGUCCUACAAGUAGCAUCUCCAAGUAGCAUCUCCAGGUAGCAUCGCAUAGCAUAAUCCUACCCGGCGAUCCUCCCCUCGCCGCCCUAUGGAAAAGCGAUCACCGGGUUGUCUGUGGAACUUGGAAGGGUGUGUUUUAUUAAGUAUCCGGUUCUAGUUGUCAUAAGGUCAAGGUACAACUCCAAGUCGUCCUGUUACCGAAGAUCACGGCUAUUCGAAUAGAUUAACUUCCCUGCAGGGGUGCACCAACUUACCCAACACGCUCGAUCCCAUUUGGCCGGACACACUUUCCUGGGUCAUGCCCGGCCUCGGAAGAUCAACAUGUCGCAGCCCCACCUAGACACAACAGAGAGGUCAGUACGCCGGUCUAAACCUAAGCGCACAGGGGUCUGGGCCCAUCGCCCUUAGCACACGUGCAUGUUGCGUGGGCGGCCGGAAGCAGAACUAGCCCCCUUAAUACAAGAGCAGGCUUACGUUCCAAUCCGGCGCGCGCCGCUCAGUCGCUGACGUCACGAAGUGCUUCGGCUGAUACCACGACACCGGGAUACCCAUAACUACUCCCGCGUAGAUGGUUAGUGCGUAUAGGCUCCUAGCCAACUCAGAUCAAAUACCAAGAUCUCGUUAAGCGUGUUAAAUAUCUACGAACGCCGAACAGGGCCAGGCCCACCUGUCUCCUAGGUGGUCUCAACCUGCCCUGUCGCUCCGCCACAAAGAUCCACAUAGAGGGCCGUCGGGACAAAGGUCCUUUCAGCCCCCAAUCCGUGAAUCACUCACGGGUACGCUUCGAGCUGACCGACUUUAGUCACCAUCUGUAUAGUAUGUAUGUAUGUAUCAUAUAUACCCGUGAUCACC
rnacentral:lncRNA from 1 species